UUGAACAAAAAUGGUUAGCUUGGAAUUGACAUUUGGAUUGCAGAAAUUUUGAGGAUUGAGAGGUUAGGAAGAGAUUGGAGGAAUGCCUUGAAAAAUUAGGAACAUGGAGAAAAUAUUGAGAUUGGUUGUAGGGUCCUCCAUGUGGUGUGUAUUGGCUGAGUGAACAUUUGGGAACAUGAAAGAGAAUAUUAAGAUUAUUUAGAAUGUAUACCAGGGAGCAGUUGAAAACUUUAUGAUAGGUACCUGUAAUUUGUAAACAAUAAAUUUGCCUGUCACAUAGGGGAAAAAAUUACAUUAGCCUGCUAUGUGGAAAAACUACAAGAAGCAUUUGCAAUUAUUAUGGAUAUUGAUUGCUCAUGUUCAACAUAAGUACCUUCAUUCUGUUACUUGUUAGUCAUCUAAUGUUAGUUGAUGGCUGCAUAGAUGGAGAGCUAGAACAAAUGAAUGGAUUUGAAUUUCUUGCUUCUUAACAAGUGGACUAAACAUAAAGCUUGGAACACAGUUUAAGUAUGCCAACUUGAUGGUUGAGAAGUUGUAAAGUUACAUCCUUAUUUCCCAGUUGGAGCAUCUGUAAGGAAGUUGAUAAUUAGGGUGUUGCCCAUAGAGUUGGGAGUUCUAUGGCUACCAUGUAGAAUUUUAUAUUUUACUUGACUGUUGUAUGCCUGUAUCAUUCAAUCAAACUAUAGGGAAGAUUUUACUCAGUCACAAUUGUUUACUUGUACCAUAUCAUGUGGAGUCUAAUUUUAACAUUCAUGAAACAUGUUCAUGAACCAUGUUCAUGAACCAUGUCAUGGAGAUGGAAGGAUUAGGAGAGAUACAUUAGGAACUAAUUCAUUUUGAAGUCUUUAGUUCUUAGAAAAACAGGAAGCGCAUAAUGGUGUGAAUGAACUUAACAGAUGUUUAAAAAUGUGACUUUUAAGAUGCUGGAACAGAAGAGUAGAAUUGGUAACCCUAAAUAGACGGAUAAAGCACUUUGAAUUGGUUUAUAAGAAGCCAUUUGAGGGACACCAAUUGAUCAGAUGGCAGGAUCAAUGGUUUGAGGAGCAAGGUAUUAUGUAUGGCUUCUUGACCCCAGGAAAUCUCAUCCGUUUCCUUUUCAUGCAUGAUUGCUUAUUUAGGAAUAAUUUAGGUUCUAUAUAUUGCAAUCCAAUCUACAAGUUGUUUUGUAAUUGCUGUUUCUUGUAUAUAUCUUACUUGGGAUAUGAAUUUGUCCAUUGAUCUAUGCUCAUGAACAGACAAAUUUCCCUUACAACCUUCUAUGGCUAUGAUAUUUAUUAUUAUUUUUCUUAAUUUUGGGGUUUCUAAUCAUGUAGAAUCCAAGGAAAGAGGUGAAUGCAAUAAUGAAAAAGGAGGCCGCUUACUUUGGAGAUAUUAUAAUUCUGCCAUUUAUGGAUCGUUAUGAGCUCGUGGUACUUAAAACUAUUGCCAUUUGUGAGUUUGGGGUGAGUUCCAAGUUUUUCUUUUGGUCUUCAUAGAAUAUAAUUGGGAGACACAUUAUUUUCUGCAUUUUGUUUGGUCGGGCCCUGUUUGAGUUGUAUCAUAUCACUCCAUGCAGGUCCAAAAUGUGACAGCAGCAUACGUCAUGAAGUGUGAUGAUGACACAUUUGUUAGGGUGGACACUGUCUUAAAAGAAAUCGAGGGCAUCUCUCGCAAAAGAUCCCUUUAUAUGGGCAAUCUCAACCUCUUGCAUCGACCUCUUAGGAGUGGAAAAUGGGCAGUCACAUAUGAGGUAAGAAAGCUUUUAAUGCCUUCCUGUGAACCGUGAACCAUAAAUACAUUUCUUUUUUCUUUAUUGCGGGGUAUAGGUAAGCUUGGAACUGAGCUGAGGGCCUGAGCCCAGGACUGGCCCUAGAACCAGAACAACUUUGGUCUUUGACUAGGCUUGGGCUUGAGAAUUAGACCUGAGCCAGGCCCUUUAUAUGUGCUGGGCAUUUUUUAUGGGGUUCUGUCUCAGCCUUGGUUUUGAGCCUCUUCAGACCUGGUCCAGCCUGAGGACGAGGCCCCACAGGCCCAUCCCGAGGAUGAGGCCCCAGCCAUGGCUCUCAUGGGUUUUAGACUGUCUAAAUAGGGUUUGGGCAAGUAUUAGGCUGCCAGGCUUUUUUACAUGCUUCUAGGUUAGAUCUCUAUUGAUAGUUGCUACAAACUUUCAAUCAACAAUACAAUAUGAUACAGUACUCUUUUCAUGUGAAUGACGUUUAUUACCAGUACUAUUGCAUGUUUAGUCUACCUUGAGAUAUGUAUACAAUGCACGAUAUGAUACAUAAAAUAUAUAAUAUUAUGCUGUUGUUAAUUUCCUCUAUAUUGCAAAUUGCUUUAAGUACUUUUCAGAAAAUCAAAUUUGAAUUUUUUCUUGAAAAUACUAUAAAUUAUUGUUGAAAAUGGACUUCAAAGUUGGUAGAUGAAAAAAAAAGGACAAGAUAGAAAAAACGAUUCCAUGUGGUAAUAUUGGACACAAGUUGUCAAAGGCAAAAUGAAAGAUUGACUGUGAAGUUUAAUUGUUCCCGCAAAUAUCAAGGUGUUACUGAAUGAAAAAUAUGUUAUUAAUAUGAUUUUGAAUGUUCAACUGUAAGGGUAAUGAUGAAGGAAGAAAAAAAAAAUUCUUUUGAUUAAUAUAUCAAUUUUUCUGACCAUUUCCCAUUUUAGCAGAACUUGAAAAGUUAGAAUUUUGAUCAUGGUAAAUAAACACAUUCAUGUCAAUAGUUCAUGCAAGUAUAUAUUAUAUGAUCAUAGUUCCUUCUUUGAUAUAUUAUUUUAGAAUCUUGAAAAUUUUGACAUGAAAGUAUUUAUUGGUGGACUAGUUGGAACUUGAAAUUUUAAACCCUAUUUACAAGUAAUGCUUAUUUUGUGAAUAAGAUAGGUAUCUGCAUUAAAGCAUCAUAUUUUGUUAAGUUGAUUUCAGUGAAACUACACCGUUUAGUAUUUAUACGUGUACAAUAGUGAUGAAUAUCUAUGUUUACCUUUUCAUCCUUACCAUCUUAUGAUGAAACUGUUAUCUAUUCGUAUUUCAUUUAUGUGAUAUAUGGUCCAUAUAGGUAUAUCAUUUAUUUUAUUUAUUUUUCAAUGUAGACAAACUUAUGAUACAUGAUUUGAUUUUUUAUGUGAUACAGAAAAAUUUGGAAAAAUUUUCAGUUAUUAAGUUAAAAAAGGGAAAAAUUUGAUUUUCUUACAUUGUACCCUGAAGUCGUUAGUUUUGUAAUUUUUAUUGGAAAAUUGAAAGGAUGUAUGUUAGAUUUUCUUUCAUUUUAUUUGUAUUUAAAGUAUUAUUAUCCGAUGUAACAGGAAUGGCCGGAAGAAGUCUAUCCUCCUUAUGCCAACGGCCCUGGAUAUAUAAUUUCCAUUGACAUUGCUAAAUUUAUUGUUGCUCAACAUGGGAAUCGAAGCCUACGGGUCGGUGACAAGAAAAACCUUCUUUACCACUUCCCUUGGAGAAUGCUUUUUCCCCUUUUCCUUUUUAAGCUCAUCAAUUCAUUUAGAUAAAUAAGAUUGUUACUUUCUUAUGGCAGCUAUUCAAGAUGGAGGAUGUGAGCAUGGGAAUGUGGGUUGAGCAGUUCAACAGCUCUACACCUGUUCAAUACUCUCACAACUGGAAGUUCUGUCAAUAUGGGUGCAUGGAGGACUAUUACACGGCACACUACCAGUCCCCCAGACAGAUGAUUUGUCUCUGGGACAAGUUGGCUAGGGGUCGGGUUCAUUGCUGCAACUUUAGAUGACAGAGUCCCCUAGAAUCUCUGAGGGGCAAGUUGGAAAUGGGUUGCUUGGGUUCCAUGCUGCCACUGUAUCUGCUGGGCAGCCCCUAAUGCAGGAAUAGCUUGUCUACCUCAGACCCGAUUUUAUUGUUUAUUUUUCACUUCCCUCUUUCACCCAGGUGCCCAUUUUUUUUAUCAAUCUAAAUGGGCACAAGGAAUGGCUGACCCUGAGUUAAAGCCAUUGUUUUUCAAAGAUGCAAAUUGCUCAUUAUUGUGGCCGAGAAGAAAGGGCAUCUCUUUCUAGCUUGCGUCAAAAUCAGGCCAAAUUGUGGAAGUAUUUUGUAUAUGUUUUUAAGAAACCUUUUAGCAGGAUGUAGGCUUGGGCAUGAAUGUAGGGCUCUUGUCCAUUGGUAUUUUCUUUUCUAUAUAUUACACUAUAUGCUUUUUAUUUUAAUACAAGAACAAAGAAAAAAAGAUGGAAUAUUCUCAGAAAGGCAACUUGGUGUAGGCGUGGGGGUGCUUGUCUUUCACUUUAUGGAGUCUUUGACAAUAAGAAAACAAAUAUAUUGGAUAGUACCUUAAAAAUUGUACCAUGAGACCUAAAGGUGACUUAAUUUAUAACCUUAUGAAGAGUUUGAUAAUUUGGCAAUGAAACAGUUUAGUUUUAUUAAUUCUUUACAAAAAUUUAAAUGAGAAUCUAUUAUAAAUUAUAUAAAGAAAGGAAUAAUAAAUAUCUUAAACUUAAGGAAAAUAAAUAUAAUUUUUUAAAUUAAAAAAAUGAAAUAUUAAUUAUAUUUGAUUGCUCUCAAUUUAUACAAUUAAAAUUAUUUAUUUAUUUUUUAUAUUUUUGUUGAGAAUUGGAACAGGGUGAAACUUCUUCUCUUUAUGGUUGUAUUGUUCAAAUAAAAAAUUAUGCAUGUUUUAAGAACGUUUUCUCCAUUGUGGUAGUGACUACUUACAUCCCUAUGGAGCUACUAUGAAUGGACUAAAAGAAGGGUAAGUUGGUUUAUUAAGCAUAGUAAGAAAAAAAAAAUUUCUUACCUUUAUCCUAAACAAUUAGCGAAUUGUGAAACUUUGUUUUAAUCUAAAAUUGACUCUUGUUUGUGCUGAAAUUAUCAUAUAUUUCUGAAGUCCCUUAGAUCAUAACAUUUUUUUUUUCUUUUAACAAGGAGCAAUUACUCUUCAAGAGAACUUCAUACCUCCUAUGUUAAGACCUAAGAUUAUAUUAAAAACAUUUUCUUUCCUUGUUCCAAUGAUUCAUGAAGUGACAAAUCUGCAAGAUAUCACUUUUGCUUCACCCAUCAUUCUUAAUUUCUUUAGUAGGUUUUUUUUUCUCACUUAAGAGAUGACGUAGAACAUCGACACCACGGAAUAAGAGGAUGAUUAAUUCCAUCAUAGUAGAAAAUUUUUGGUGUUUAUCUUGAUUGAGAUCAGGUUAGGGUAUGACUUUUACUUUCCUCAUCAUCCUUAAUUUUUUCAAUAAGUUUUUCUUCACUUAAUAGAUGAUGGAGAACAUCAAUGCCAUAAAAUAGGGGAUGGUUUAAUUUUGUCAUGCUAUGUAAGACUUGGAUAUUAAUAUUGAUUUUUUUUUCAAAGAGAUAGAUAUGGUUUGUGAGGGUAAGUCAGACCUUUUAUGACAUUCGACCAAUUUUAGAGAGGUCCAAGCUUGAGCAUCCUCCACUAUCUUUGAUACCAAGAAAAGUUUGAUAAUUUGACAAUAAGCAUUGAGUUAUAUUAAUUCUUUUAAAAAAAUUAUACAAAAAUAUAUUGAGAUUUAUAUAUAAAAAAAAGGAAUAAUAAAUUUUCUAAAAUUAAAGAAAUAAAUUAUUUCCUAAAUUAAGAGUAUAAAAUAUUAUUAAUAUUUGAUUGUUUUUAAUUUAUGAAAAUUUUGAGUGAGUGGAUUUUUAUCUUUAUCUUAGUAUCUUUUGUUAUUUCUAUUAUAUGUCCUCUCAUUUUGUCCUAUUUUAUUCUACUUUUCUUUAAUAUCAUCUAAAUAGGUGGAUAACGGCUAGAAGGUGGUUUGUUUUUAACUCCUUUAAACAGAACAACUCUUAUUUUUGAAGGAAAAAUCAUGUAAAAAUACACUAUAAAAAAAAAAAGACUUUUUAGGAACUUUUUAUUUGGACUUUCAAAACAUAUGUUUUAUAAGAAAAAUAAUUUUAUAAACAUGCACUCAAAUAGUAACAAUGAUUAAAAUGUCAAGAUUGUCCUUUAAACCAUUCUCUCUUGUUGACAAGCCAUUUAACUCAAUUAUUAUUUUAUUUUUUUGGGAAAAACCAUGAAAAAAAUACACUACAAAAAAUAAAUAAAAAAUUAAGAACAUUUACUUUUCACUUUCAAAACAAAUGUUCUGUGAGAAAAAUAAUUCAAUGAGUAAAAUUUCAAGAUUGCCCUCUAAACCAUUCUCUCUUGUUGACAAACCAUCUAACUCAAUUACAUUUUUUUUUUUUUUUUUGUGGAAAAACCAUGAAAAAAAAAAGAAUUUUUAAGAACAUUUACUUUUCACUUUCAAAACAAAUGUUUUGUGAGAAAAAUAAUUCAAUGAUUAAAAUUUCAAGAUUGCCCUCUAAACCAUUCUCUCUUGUUGACAAAUCGUCUAACUCAAUUACAUUUUUUUUUGGAAAAACCAUGAAAAAAAAAGAUUUUUUAAGAACAUUUGCUUUUCACUUUCAAAACAAAUGUUUUGUGAGAAAAAUAAUUCUGUAAAUAUACACUCUAAUAGUAACAAUAAUUAAACCUCCAAAAUGUCUUCUAACUAUUCUCUUUUGUCGAUAAGCUAACUAACUCAUUUGUUUUUUUAACCUUUCCAUUAUGCUUAUCAAUUUUUUUUAAGCUUGACAUGUGGUUAUCCAAUAUGUCAUGUUAUUUUUCCUUUUUUCUUUUCUCUUUCUCUAUUUUCCCUAGAAUGUAAUGCCACUUUUGCCCUGUUUUUUUUUUUUUUUUAAAAUAUAGUAACUACACAUUUUCUUAUAAAAUCUUUAUAAUUUCAUGUUUUUCACUCUUUCAUCUUUUCGUAUUUAUUAAUUAUUUAUGGACACUUUAAAAGAAAAUAAUAAUACAUAAAAAACAGUUAAUAUAAAAAUAAAUAUAUAAUGAAUAAAUUUAGAACUUUAGGAUAUAAUAUUUUAUAUAUUCAUAUUAAAUAAAUAUUUAAUUAUUUGAUAAAUUUUAUUAUAUAUAGAUUAAAUAAAAAUAUCUUUGUCAUGUUAUUUUAUUGCUUAUAUUUUUUAUUUUAUUUUUUAAAUUUUCAUGUGAAAAUGAGAAUCAAUGAUCCUGAUUUUAACUUUUUAUUUAUGAUUCUAACUUGAUUAUAGUUCUAACUUUUUACUUGAUUCAAAUGUUCAAAAUUUUAAUUUAUAUAAAAUAAAAACUUGAUUGUGGUUCUAAUUUUUUACUUGGUUAAAAUUUUGAAUUUUUUAUUUGUAUAAAAUAUAUAUAUUUUUUCAUAAAAAUUGUAUUUAAUAUUUUGUAUUAAUUUUUUUUCUUAAUUUUGUUAAAAAUUAAAAUUUUUGCAUACUGAAGUUGCGCACAUUUCAAUUAUAUUAGGAAAAAAAAUAGUGUACCUUGAAGUGGACUAAGAAAAAAUAGCACACCUUUAAGUGCACUAGGAAAAAAUAGCACACCCUAAAGUGUACCAGGAAAAAAUCGCACACCCUCGAGUGGAAAUUUUUUCAUAAAGUAAUGAUACUCUCUUUUCUAAGGGUUAUGUUGAUUGAUAUUAUUAUGUAAAAAAAUCACAUACAUUUCACGUUAUUUCACCAUUACAUAAGGCAUGAAACACGUAAAUGGUGAUAUUUUUUCCACCUCAAUGGUACUUUUAGCACACAUUAUGGAUAUAUAUAUAUAUUUUCCAUAAAGGAGAAAUACCCUCUUUUAUAAGGGUUGUGUCGAUUAGAUUUAUCUCACAAAAAAUUAACGUAUUUCAUAUUAUUUUACUCUUGUAUAAGACAUGGAAUACCUAAUGGGCAAUAAUAUGCUUGAUCCUAAAGUAAAAGUGCAAUUUAUUUUUCCCACCUUAAUGGUACUUUUAGCACACAUCAGUGUUACUAUCUUCAUAAAAAAGUGAUAUCUUUUUUUGGUUUAGGGUAAGGUAUAUUAUUGUCCAUUAUGUGUUCUACAUCUUAUAUAAAGGUGAAACAACAUGAAAUGCAUGUGAGUUUUUACAUGAUAACUUUGAUCCACACAAUUUUUAGAAAAGAGAGUAUCACUCAUUUAUGAAGAAAGUAACACUAACAUGUAUUGAAAGUACUAUUAAGUGGAAAAAAUAUACAACACUUUUGGUUAAUGGUAAGAUAUAUUAUUACUUAUUAGGUGUUUCACUUCUUAUACAAGAGUGAGAUAAUGUGAAAUGUGUGGAAUUUUUUCACAAUAACUUUGAUCAACACAAUCCUUGGAAAAGAGGAUAUCACUUCUUUAUAAAAAAAUAUAUAUAUAUGCUAAAAAGUAUUACUAAGGUGGAAAAAAUGUAUUGCACUUUUGGUUUAAGAUAAAAUAUGUUAUCACCCAAUACAUGCUCUUCAUUUUAUGUGAUGGUGAAAUAACGUGCAAUGCAUACGAGUUUUUACACAAUAACAUCGAUCAACACAACCUUUGGAAAAGAGAGUACCAUUAUUUUAUGAAAAAAAAUGUACGACUUGAAGGUGUACUAUUUUUUUCCUAGUGCACUUGAAAGGUGCUCAACUUCUACGUGCAAAAAUUUUAAUUCCUAAAAGGAAAAUUAAUGUAAAUAUUAAAUACAAUUUUUAUGGAAAAACUAUAUUUUAUUUUUUAUUGUAUACAAACAAAAAUUCAAAAUUUUAAUCAAACAAAGAACCAUGGUCAAGUUUUUAUUAAAAAAUUAAACUUUUAUCUAAGCAAAAAGUUAGGACUUUAGUCAAAUUAGAAUAAUAAGCAAAAAGUUAAAUCAUAAUGGUUGAUUCUCAUUUUCACAUGAAAAAUUAAAAAAUUUUAAAAAAUAUAAACAAUAAAAUAACAUGAUAUAAAUAUUUUUAUUCAAUCUAUAUAUGGAUAAGAUUUAUUAAAUAAAUAAAUAUUUUAUUUAGUAUGGAUAUAUAAAUCUUAUGUCCUAAACCUUUAAAUUUAUGUAUAAUGUAUUUAUUUUUAUAUUAAUUUUUUUCUCAUUAAUUAUUUAAUAUAAAUUAUUAUUUUAUUUUAAAGUAUUCAUAAAUAAUUAAUAAGUAUGAAAAGAUGAAGGAGUGAAGAAAAUAAAAUUACAAAUAUUUCAUAAGAAAAUGUGUAUUUAACAUUUACAUUCUAAGUAAAAUAAAGAAAAAAGAAAAAGAAAAAAAUGACAUAUGAGAUUGCUACCUACCAAGUUUUAAAAAAAAAUGACAAGCAUGAUAGAGUUCUCUUGACUUGUUAUGCCAAGGUAAAAAAAAGAAAAGAAAAUAAUGUAAUCAUGUCACUUAAAAAAAUAAUUCAUUUGAAAAGUUUGAUUUUUAACUUUCAAAGUAUGUGCAUUUUGAGUAAAAAAAUCCUAUAAACAUGCACUAUAAUAACAAUUUUCAUCAAAAUUCUAUAACUACCCUCUAGUCAUCUUCUCAUCUUGUGGCCAACUAUAACAAUUUUUUUUAUUACUUCGACAUGACAAGUCAAAGAGCUUCAUGCUUUUUUAUUAAAAAAAAAAGAAACUUUAAUGUGAUAACCAAUCAUACCAUAUGAUUUUUCUUUUUUUCCUCUUUUAUAAUGCCUUCAACUUUUUGUUUUUGUUUUUUUAAUGUAUGUGUUGACUUCAUGAAAUCCUUUUAAUUUCAAAAUUUUUCAUUAUUUUAUCUUUUCAUAUAAAAAUAAAUACAAAAUAAUAAUAUAUAUUCAAUAAUUAAUGAGAUCAAAUUUAAUAUUAAAAUAAAUACAUAAUGAACAAAUUUAGAGGUUUGGAACAUAAAAUUUUAUAUAUCCAUACUAAAUAAAAUAUUUCUUUAUUUUAUAAAUCUUGUUACACAGAUUAAAUAAAAAUAUCUCUAUUAUAUUAUUUUAUUUUUUUAUAUUUUUAAAAAUUUUAAAUUUUUAUGUGAAAAUUAGAAUAAAUAAUCAUGGUUUUAAUUUUUUGUUUAUGAUUUUAUCUUGACCAUAGUUCUAGCUUUUUUCUUGGUUUAAACAUUUCAUUUUUUAUUUUUAUAAAAUAAAAAAUAAAAUAUUUUUUUUAUUAAAAUUUAUAUUUAAUCAUUUCAAUUAUUUUUCUCUUAAUUUUAUUAAAAAUUAAAAUUUUUGCAUAUUGAAGUUGUACACCUUUCAAGUGUACUAGAAAAAAAAAACCUCAUCCUCUUAAAACACUAAGUUGAUACACCUCAAAAUAGUGUGCAACUGAAAUUGUACACUCUUGCUUAUUCAAAGGAUACCACUCCUUUAUAAAAAAAAGUAUCAUUAAAGUGUGCUAAAAGUAUUACUAUGGUGGAAAAAAUGUAUCACUCUCUUUUGGUUUGUGGAAGGUGUGUUACCAUUCGCUACAUGUUCGAUGCCUUAUGUAAUGAUGAAAUAACAUGAAUUGAGUGAAUGUUAUUACACAAUAACAUUGAUUGACAUAAUUCUUGAAAAAGAUAUACUACUCUUUUAUAAAAAAAUAUACCAUUAAAAUGUAUUAAAAGUAAAGAUGAAAAUAUCGGUAAUCACGGAUAUAUUGACAUUUCGAUUUUACGAAUAUAUCGGAUAUAUCAUAGAUAUAUUGGCUGAUAUUUUGAAAAAAAAUAUUGAUGGGCGUAAAAUUGAUUAAAAUUCAUGAAAAUAUAAGAAAAACCUUGUAAAAAUGUAAUUAGAAGUAUAAUAGACAUUUUAAAAUUGUUUUGUUGAAAAAUUUGAUAUAUGUGUGAUAUGAUUUAUCAUAUUUGAUGAUAAUAUCAUAUACAUCAAUAAAAAAUAUGAAUUUUAUAAGUGUAUAUUUAUUAUUAAAUUACAUUAAAUAUUAUUUCAUAAUAAUAUUAUGAUAUUUAAUUAUAAUAUGUCUAAUUUAAAAUAUAUUUAAUAUUAAAAUUAUGAUAUAUUUAAUUCAAUUAUAUUAAAUAAUAUAAAAUAAAUGAUGAUAUAUGCAUAGUUGUGAUAUUUAACAAUAAUGUUUAUAAUUUGAAAACAUACUUUAUGCAUUAUCAUUUAAUUUGGAUGUAUUUAAUGACAUAAAAAGAAAUAAUGAUAAUUUGUAUAAGUAUUUUUUAUUUUAAAAAUUUGAUAAUUUUAUUCAAAAAUUUAUAAUUAUUUUCUAUAUAAUUAUAAAAGUCACAAUCACAAAAAACAAUUCAUUUAUAAUAAUUUUAUUAUGUUUAAUUUAUAAUAUUGUAAACCCCCCUUUUUAUUUUAGAUUUUCCUGCCACCUUUGAGGAGCACCCGAGGAGGAGCUAAGUUUUUAUUUUUAUUUUUUGGAGAGGUAGGAGACGAUUUCCAAAUGGAGCAAGCUGCAUGGAUGUGUGGCAUACAUCACCAUUUUGCCAUGGUGGUGAUUGAGGAUGACGUCUUCGUUGAACCAAUAACAAUGGAGUCGGUAGAAGCUUGUAAGGGAAGCUAAGAGAUGGAUAAAAAAAGAAAGAAAAAUAGAACAAGUAGGAUGCAAAGAAGGGGUUUGAAAAAUUGAUGGGAGAGAGACGUGUGGGAGAGUUUUUAGCAGGUGAGGUUUUGGGAAGAGAAGAAAAGCGGACAUGGGAAAAAAAAGAGUUGUGAGGGGGUGAGCUGGGAUUUCUUGGGAGACAAACCCAAUAGUCUUUCUAGAGAAAGGUAUAGAAUUGGGAGAGAGGAGUCCGAGGGGAUAUUUUGGAGAAAGUGAAAAAAAAAAAUCUUGAAGAUGAGUACAUCUGGUUCGAGGAGACACUCCAGGUAUGUUCACUGUGAACUAUGUAUCUUCUCAUUUUGAAUACUAUUUUGCUUGAUGUCUCUAUGGCUUUCUACGUCGUUCAUAUACCUGUGUUGUUGGUUUUUUCCUUUGUUUCCUUGAUUUGGCUUGAAAAACGGGUGAGACUCUUUAUCAUUUUUACUAUGGGUCAUCUCGAGAUUGGUUGCACUAUUGCUUUGAAUCUGUUUGUGAUUUUCUUUUCCAGCAGCAUGAACACAUGGCUAUUUUUUUUUCAAUUUUCCAGUUUGCCGCUAAGCUUUCUCUAUAUUUGAGUUGUCGCCCUCUUCCUAUUUGCCUCAUCAUAGGCCUUCAAACACCACCUAGCUUCGGUUAACAUGCUACCCAUUUUCACUACCUUCCCACCUUUCUAAUCUACCAUACCCAUCAUCAUUGCUCGAGAUGACCCUUAUAUACCUAUAGCCACAAUCCAAUUGGUAGAUGCGUCCAUGCAUGACGCUACUUCCACUCAACAUGAAAAGGAAUCCCAUGGUUUGGUGCAUCAAGUCACCAUACGUCUUGAUAAAAGAAAAUCAGAUAUUACUCACCUUGUUACAGAAGUUGAAGAUUUAAUAUUGAAAGAUGAAUUAUGAGGAAGAGAGCGUGAGCCUUAGCCUUCUCAAGAAGAAAAUGGCGGCGUUUGCCAAGGAGAGGGAUUGGGAUCAAUUUCACAGCCUAAGGAACCUCCUCAUGGCUUUGGUGGGGAAAGUUGGGGAGCUGUUAGAGAUAUUUCAGUGGAGAGAAGAGGUGUCGAAGGAGCUGCCGGAAUAGAAAGAAAAGGAGAAGCAACACUUGGGGGAAAAACUUUUAGAUGUUCUUCUAUACCUUGUGAGGCUCUUUGAUAUGGAUGACAUUGAUCUUGGAAAUGUUGCACUUCGCAAGGUUGAUCCCAAUGCCAUCAAGCACCCAAUUUCCAAAACCAAUCUCUAUAAUGAAGGCUCUCAGAGCCAUUGAUGGAUUUUCUUGUCUGAGAAUCAUUAUAUGGUAGUAAAAUCAAUGGAGGACUUUUGGUGGGUCAUCCUUGGAGCAUAUAUGCCCAUAUUCCUUUUUGAUCAUUUAUGCUCACACGUUUUCACAAAUUAUUAUUAUUUUAAAUAACUUUCAAAAUUUUGGAUUUUCAAAUAAUCUUAUCUUCACUUCCAUCUUCAAAUAAAUUUUCAAAAAAAUUCAAAUUUCCAAAUUUAAUUUUUAAAAAUGCCAUCUUCAAAUAAAUUCUUCAAAAUUCCAUUUAAAAAAAAAAAUUUAAUUAUCAAAUCUUCCAUUUUCAAAUAAUUUUCCAAAAUUCCGAUUUCCAAAUUUAAUUUUUUUAAAGAUUCAAUUUUCAAAUAAAUUUCCAAAACUCCAUUUUUUUAAAUUUAAAUUUUCAAAGCUCCAAUUUUAAUUUUAAUUUUCAAAACUUUAACUUUUCAAACUUUAAUUAUUCUUAAAUUUAAUUUCAAAACUCCGAUUCUCAAAUAAUUUUCAAAAUUCCAAUUCCUUUCAAAUUUAAUUUUCAAAACUCCAAUUCUUAAAUUUAAUUUUCAAAGUUCCAAUUCUCAAAUAAUUUUCUAAAUUCCAAUUUCUUUCAAAUUUAAUUUCCAAAACUCCAAUUCUUAAAUUUAGUUUUCAUAGUUCCAAUUCUCAAAUAAUCUUCAAAAUUCCAAUUUCUUUCAAAUUUAAUUUCCAAUACUCCAAUUCCUAAAUUUAAUUUCCAAAAUUCCAAUUCUUAAAUUUAAUUUUCAAAACUCCAAUUCUCAAAUAAUUUUCAAAAUUCCAAUUUCUUUCAAAUUUAAUUUCCAAAACUCCAAUUCUUAUUUAAUUUUCAUAAUUCCAAUUCUCAAAUAAUUUUCUAAAUUCCAAUUUCUUUCAAAUUUAAUUUCAAAAACUCCAAUUCUUAAAAUAUAGCUUUCAUAGAAAAUUGUAUGUAAUCAUUUAUAUUAAUUCUCUUAAUUUUAUUAAAAAUUAAAAUUUUUACAUAUUGAAGUUGCGCAUCUUUCCAGUGGGUUAGGAAAAAAUAGCACAUCGUCUUGAAGCAUUAAGUUGGUACACCUCAAAGCAAUACGCAACUCAAAUUGUACACCUUUGCUUAUUCAAAAGGUAUCACUCCUUUAUGAAAAAAAAUACUGUAUUAAGUUGGUACACCUCAAAAGAAAUACGCAACUCAAAUUGUACACAUUUUCUUAUUCAAAAGGUAUCACUCCUUUAUGAAAAAAGUAUCACUACUGAAAUGUGCUAAAAGUACAUUAUGGUGGGAAUAAUGUAUCAUUUUUUUUUAGUUUAUGGUAAAGUAUAUUGUCGUCUCUUACAUGUUCAACAUCUUAUGCAAUGAUAAAAUAACGUAAAUUGAGUAGGUGUUAUCAAAGUUUGAAAUAUCUGUAAACACGGACAUAUCGGGACAUAUAUAAAAAAUAUCGAAGAGAUAUCGGUGGAUAUUUUGACAAAAAUUUUGAUAAAAUGAAAAUUAUUCAAAAUUCAUGAAAAUAUUUGAAAAAACUCCAAACAAUAAUAAAAUAACUAAAAAUACAUAUGUUAAAGUUAUUUUGUAAGUGUAAUUGAUAUAUGUAUGGUUAAAGAAAAAAAUAUUCGUAAGUAAAGAUAUAUUGGUCUUAAUAUAUAAUUUAUUAUUUAUCUUAUCAAACUAAUUUUAAUUUAUAAAAUAUUAUAAUUUCAUUAUUAUUAUUAUUUUAUAUUUUUGUAUUUUUUUUAAUAAAUUUAUAUUUUAACAUUUUAAAAUAAAGACAUUCAAAUUUAAAAUGAUAAAUAUAAAAAAAAAUUAAAAUUUGAAAUGAGAGUUAUUUUUUAAAAUAGGAUUAAUGAGAGAAAUGAUGAUACAUUUAACAUUAAAACUAUAAUUUAUUUAAUUAAAAUGCAUUCAAUAAUGUAAAAUAAAUGAUGAUGCAUAUAUUAUUUUUUAAUAUUUAUAUUUUUUAUAUUUAAUUAUCACAUAAAUGAUAUAAAAAAAGACUUGUUAAAAAAAUUAUAAUGUUGGUUUUUAUAUUUUUAUUAAUCAAUUAAAUAAAAUAAUUAGAUUUUUUUUAAAAAAAAUGAACUUUAACAUAUUUAAAUUGAGUAUAUGGUCACAAAUGACAUGUCAAUCUGGUGGUACCUAGGAAACAAUCUAAGCUUUUUGGCCUAGGCUUGGGUUCAAAUCCCUUAGACGUUGCAAUGGCAAAAUGGGAAAUUUAAAAAAAAUUAGCGGGUGUUAUUGCGUAAUAAUAUCGAUGAAACUACUCUUUUAUAAAAAAAUAUAUUACUAAAGUGUGUUAAAAGUACCACUCUAGAUAUUUCAAACAUUGGGUGUUAUUGCGUAAUAAUAUCGAUGAAACUACUCUUUUGUAAAAAAUAUAUAUUACUAAAGUGUCUUAAAAGUACCACUCUUGUAGAAGGAAUAUAUCUACCAUCCGUUAUGUGCUCAAUGCUUUAUAUAAUGAUGAAAUAAUGUAAAUUCAGUUAGUGUUAUUGUGUGCAAUAACAAUGUUUGACACAACCCUUAGAAAAAAGGUGCCAUUAUUUUAUAAUAUAUAUAUAUAUAUAUAUAUAUAUAUAUAUAUAUAUACCAUUGAAAUAUGUUAAAAAUACUAUUGUACUAAAAGAGAAGUACACUUUUAGUAUAAGAUAGUAAUACUUUUUUUUCAUAAAAAAAUGGUACCCUCUUUUCCAAGGAUUGUGUUUGAAUCCCUUGGGCGUUGCAAUGACAAAAUAUGUGAGGAUUGAAUGAAAAAUUGGGAAAUUCGAAAAAUCAACGAUAUUUCAAACAUUGGGUGUUAUUGAGUAAUAAUAUCGAUCAACACGACCCUUAAAAAAAUGGUACUACUCUUUUAUAAAAAUUAUAUUACUAAAGUGUGUUAAAAGUACCACUCUUAUAGGAAGGAUAUACUACUCUUCUUUGAUUUAGGGUAAAGUCUGUUAUAUCCACUAUUUUAUUUUUAGGUGGUACGUGAUUAUAUGAUUCUCCCUACUAAAAUUUUUGGCUGUCAACUCCAUCAUAACCACCUCUCUAAGACCCCACCCCAAUGGGGGGACAACCAAGCAAAAAAAAAACGUAUGACUAGAGCUAGGAGUCUCACCGACAAUGGCCAAGUUUGUUUAACACAAAUGCUGUUUUACCUCUCCAAAAGGAGGCCGUUGAGAGCCUUUUCAUGGUCAAGCACACUCUUCAUGGUGUAAACUUGUUCCUUUAUAUAUCCAAGGAGUCAUUAUUGGUCCGAACGUUAAGCUGAAAUUUGUGUGUGUAUAUAUACAUGUUUCUAAUAAGCUGAAAAUUUAAGGGUUUAUUUGGUAAUUAUUUUGAAAUUAGGAAAGAAUUUUAAAUGGAGAAUUUAAAAAGAAAAAUCUUUCCAAAGAAUAAAAAUAAUUUGGAAAUGAAUUUUAAAUUGAGAAUUUAAAAAGAUUUUUUAAUAAAAUUAAUUUAGAGAAGAAUUUUGAAUUGUGAAUUUAAAAAAGAGAUUUUUUUCAAAUCUUUUAAGGAAUUUCGAAAAGAGAUUUAGGAAAGAAUCUAAAUUAAGAAUUUUAAAAGGAAAAUCUUUUCAAAUUAAUUUUGAAUUUAAAAUAUGAAAUAUUUUCAUAUCUUUAUAAAAUUCUUAAGUUUCUAAAUUAUUGUUUUGAUAAAAUAUGAUUUCUAAAUUGAUCUCAAGUCUACUAGGUUUUCUCUUAUAUUUGCCUAUCAGGAGAGUUCUCUCAUGUGAGUAAUCCACCUAAACUUUUGAGUUAUUAUUCUUUGCGCUUAAUUUAAAACUCUCAAAUAUGUUUGGCUUUCCAUUCAGUGGGUUGUGAAAGAGACUUGCAUCCACUCAGGAGCUGAGAUGAGAUCCAUUGGAGCACACGAGGUGCUGUCUAAAGUACCAUUUGUUGAUUUGAGGUAUUUGAUCCAAUGGUUUUUAUAUCAACAUGUUGUGUGAGUGGUUUUUCAUGUAAAAAUCUUUUGUCUUAUUUGUGGUUUGAUUGUUUUUAAUUAUAUUUUUUUCCUCAAAGGAUUAAUUGAAUGGAAAAUUUCAAUGCUUGUAUUAAAAUCUUUGAAAAACACUCAUUCACUCCCCUUUGAGUGUUACUUAAGAUCCUAGUUUUUUCAAUAACUAUUCAUAUCAGUUAGGUAUUCUAUACACAAGGUCUAAGUUUUUUCGGUGCUUAUCAUUCAUAAAGCAUGUUAUGAUUGGAGACACUUAAGAUUACAAGAUUUCAAGUUAAUUUGUUAGUGGUUACAACAUAACAUUUUUCAAAAUUAGCUCUUAAUUUUGAAGAAAAAUUAGCUUCCACGAAGUAUGUUUGAAAAUAUAUUUACUACUUUUUAUGCCUCAAAUGUGUUCCUACACCAACAAUAUUGAGAGUGUCAUCCCACUACAUAUUCUAAAUUAAUCUGUCUUCUUGUGAUUGAGAAAAAUAAUGAACUUUAAUUGAAAAAUCAUCAAUCUCAUCUCAUUGAGUCUAGGCAAUUGCUUGAAAUGUCACAUUUGUACAUGCUCGUAGACAUGGAUAUGGAUGUAACAUGGAGGCCAUCACGAUUGUGGUAUACAUAAUUCCUGAUAUUAUGGUUAGAGUUAUCUUAAGGUUUUAAAUUUCUUAUUUUUUUUUAUUUGAAAACAAAAUAAAACAAGUGACAACUCUAAAUACUUUGUAAUGUUAUCCUUUUUUUAUUUUUAUUUUUAUUUUUUAUAAUGGGUGAUCAUUUUUCCAUAAGAAGUAUUUUAUUUUAUUUUAUUUUAUUUUAUUUAGAAAAUAGAAAAAUCAACAAACCAAAAACAUGUUUGGGGUUAAGUUAUCUAUUAGAUAUGUACGACUUGUUAAUGUAGUGUCCCUCUAAGUCCAUAUACCCUAAGAUCUCUAUUAAAUGAAGUUAAAAAAUUAUAAUAAUUAAUUAAAUAAUUAUAGAAUAGCAAUAUACAAAAAUAUAUAACAAGAUAAUGACACAAACAAAUUAUAAGAAUAUACAAAAUAAAUAGAUUAAAAAAUUACCAAUUUAUUUAUAAAAGAGAAAAAAAUUUAAUUUACUUACAAAAGAUGUGACAUUAUUAUUCUAUUGAAAAUUAUAUUUUUAAGAUGAAAAUGUAUAAAUUUAUUUAUUUCAAGUCAGAUUUUAUUAAAAAAAAAAUUAGAUUUUAUCUAACAAAAAUUGUUUACUAAUUUAUUACAAAAAAAGGCUUUCAAUUCAAAUUUUAUUCAAAAUGUUUUUGCAACUUUUAUUUAUGGAAAUUAUUUCCAAAUAAAAUCUUAUUAUUUAAAAAGAGAUUUUUACUUGAAAAGAAUGAUUUUACCAUUUUUAAAAUUUUAUUGAAAAAAAGACUUUGUAGUUUUAUCUUAGAGAGUAAUUUUAAAGUUUUUUUUUUAGAAAUUAUUUUUGACCAUUUUUAUUUAAAAAUCACUUUUGACCAGCUUUUAUUAAAAAUAUGGACUUUUAUGUUUGAAACAAUUUUCUGGAAUUUUAUUUAAAACAAAAUUUUUGGACUUUUUAUUAAAAACAAAUUUUUUGGAUUUUUAUUAAAAAAAAAAAAGAAGAUUUGUGGACUUUUUAUAAAAAGGUUUUCUGAUUUUUUGUUUAAAUGAAUUUUCUGGAACUUUUAUUAAAAUAAAUAUUUUGGAAGCCUUUUUUUUUAUUAAAAUUAAUUUUCUGAAUAGUUUUUAUUAUUACUAAAAACAUUUAUGGGCGGCUUAAUUUAAUGAAAAAAAGGAAAUAAAAUAUAACACAACCAACAUAAAUAAUAAAAAAAUAUGAACAACCAAAAUAGAUAAAUCAACCAAUAAAAUAUAUUAACAAGAAAUUUAAAACAAACUAACAGAUAAAAAAAAAAAAAAUGCAACAACCUAAUACGUGAAUAGUUAAACGAACUAAAGUACUUGAACACGAAACUUUUGUGUGCUCACUAACACGUAAGUUCGUGUCCUUCUGAGAAUGAACUAUCCGUGUUCUCACGAACAUGGUAUUUUUGUUUUAAAGGAAUCAUUUUAAUUGAGCUAUAUCCAUUUGGGAAAAUGCCAUGUGUCCUAUGCCCGAACUUAUAUAAAGGAAGAAUGCUUCAUAGAACGGGUCAGUGCGUAACAGAAAGAAAUAGCAAACCCAUAUUUAUAGAAGAAAAUAGAAAACCCAAACAAAAAUGCAUGAAUAUAAUAUUUACAAAAGAAAACGAAAUAAUAAUAAUUAUUAAAAAACCUUUGAGGAUGUACGAUAAAUUGAAACUAAGGAAAAACAAAGGAAUGAAGAUGAAACAAAAAUAAAGAAACGAGGGAGGAGAAAUGUACCUGAAUACAAGAACCCAGGUGCUCUCUACCUCAAAUGACAAGUCCAAAUAAUUAUACAAUCAAACACUCUCUUACCAAAAUGAUAUUGGAAUUAGAAAAAAAGAAAAAAGAAAAAAAAAAGAGUAGAGAAUGAGAGAGACAAAAAUUCACAGCAACUGUCUCCCCCAGGAAUGUUUGUCCACCACCUCCCCUAAGCCAGGGUCUUGUGCCCUUUAAUAGCCUCCCCAAGCCCCUCUUCUACAAUAAAAUCUAGCUAUUCACAUGGUGCACAUCCAUACUGUAGACAUAAAAAAAUUAGUGGAUUAAAUUACCACUCAUUUGGUCUUCUAAAAAUAAUAAUAAUAAUAAUCUUAUGGAUAAGUCUCUCUCAUCUCCAACUAUAAAAAGGAUAAUAAUAAUAAUAAUAAAAUUAUUAUUAUUAUUAUUAUCUUGUUGGUAAAACCUUCCGGAUAAGAAAAUUUGCUAAACUUAAGGAACUAAAUCCUUUGAAUUAAGCAACUAAAUUUGGGGAUUCCGAAAUUUAAAUUCCCUAUCUUCACCUAUAAAUAGAGGUGUCUUCCAUCAAGAGGGGGGAAGAAAAUUCUAGAGAAGAGAAAAUUCAGAAAUCAGAGAAAAUUCUAGAGAGGAAAAUCCUAAGGAGAAAAUCCAAAGGUAACUUCGUAUAGGAGAAGGGGCUUCACAACAAUAGAAAGUUUCAUCAAAUCUCCUUGCAAGUUCGGUAAGCGGCAAAAGAACUAAUACACUCGUUCUUUUCCAUUCAACAAGGUCAUUCGGGAAUAAGCCACUUAUGACCCUUGAUUGACCUUCAAAAUCAAGAAAACGUCAUCGUCGUCUUCCAAAGUGUGAUCAAGUCAAAAGAAUCAGAGGGAAAAAUAUUCUUUUGGAAAGAAUAUUAUUUAUUUCUGAGAUUGUACCUGCACUACAUUUUUAAAUUUAAUAAAUCAUUUGUUCGCAUUAAUUUUCCUAUUUUAUUUUGUUAAUUUUUGCAGGAUAAAAUUUUAUGAAAUUUGUGUGUACAAAUUUCUGGCAUGCCCGGUGGGACAUCUCUGCCUCUCAUCUCUUUUGUUAGAAGAUUGAUCUCUACUACAUCGAUGACACCCAAAAGAAAUCAAGUUGUGCAUGUCAACAAAGGCAAUGACAAGAUUGUCAUUGCACAAUCAGCACAUGACACCACUACGGGCCCCAUGACUCGUAGCAAAGCAAAAUCAACAUCUUUAAUCUCAACAAAACAAACAAGUGAGUCUGCUUGUUUUCUAAAACAGGUAAGAACACGCGAUGAGCACCAACCACUCAUCACCUUGGUUUCUCUGGGGGCAAAGGGCCAUAGUCCUCGUAGUAGGGGAAAAAUCCCUUCAACACUAUAGGACUUUGGGGAUAAAUCUCCUUGCUCUAUUAUCGAUGCCAACUCUAGCACCGGCUCACACUCUAGGUCGCCAACUGGAAUGUCAAAGGAGGAAAACUACUCCAAUCAUUCCGACUCUUUUACUUCUCCUUUCUCGAUGACCAUCCCGGUAAUGACAACAGGCACUACAUCUGUAGAGGAGCAAUUGGCAGAGAUGGUCCAUGCCAUCACCAAAAUCACCAAGAUGGUCGAGGAGAAGGAUAUGCAGAUAGCCUUCCUCAUAAACAAGGUUGAGGCACAAGUACAAAAUACGGGUGAGUCAAGUCACGAACUCAACCACCCUUCGAAUGUUGCAUCUCCUCUUGAUGAUGCACCACAUACGUAUAAGACAAUGCAAAGUGAAAAACAAAUGACGGAAUCUGCCUCAGUGGCGUCAUUAUCUGUCCAACAACUUCAGGACAUGAUAACUAACGCCAUUAGGACACAGUACAGUGGACCCUCACAGAGUACACUCAUGUACUCUAAACCUUACACUAAGAGGAUUGAUAACCUACGUAUGCCUAUGGGUUAUCAACCUCCAAAAUUUCAGUCAUUUGAUGGAAAAGGCAAUCCAAAACAACAUGUUGCCCAUUUCGUUGAAACUUGUAACAAUGCAAGUACAGAUGGUGACUUAUUAGUCAAACAAUUCAUCCGUUCUCUUCGAGGGAAUGCUUUCGAUUGGUACAUAGACCUUGCACUAGAGUGUAUUGAUAGUUGGGACCAAAUGGAACGUGAAUUCCUCAACCGUUUCUAUAGCACCCGACGAAUUGUAAGUAUGAUGGAACUUACUAACACUGAGCAAUGGAAAGAUGAACCAGUUGUAGACUAUAUCAAUCGUUGGCGUUCCUUAAGCCUCGACUGCAAAGAUAGAUUAUCGGAGGUAUUAGCCGUGGAGAUGUGCAUACAAGGAAUGCAUUGGGGUCUCCUAUACAUUCUCCAAGAGAUACGACCCUGUACCUUUGAAGAAUUAGCUACUCGAGCACAUGACAUGGAGCUUAGCAUCGCCAACCAUGAUGCUAAAAAUGACCUUAUCAUUGACCAACAAAGAGAAAGACACAAUGGGAAAGCAAGUGAUAAGAUUUCAAUAAAACCCAUCCAGGAGUCAAUGAUGGUAAAUGUGACUCUUGCGCGAGAUAAAAAGAAAGAAGUAAAAGAGGUUAGACCAACCCAAGAAAAUGAGAGGUUUCGGUUCACCUUUAAGGAAUUAAAGGAGAAGAUGUAUUCUUUUCCAGACUCUGAUGUGCCUAGCAUGUUGGAAGACCUGCUCCAGAAAAAAGUUAUUGAGCUACCUGAGUGCAAGCGUCCAGAAGAAAUGGGUUGUCUUAAUGAUCCGAACUAUUGUCAUUACCAUCGAAUUGUCAGUCACCCGGUGGAGAAAUGUUUCAUCUUAAAAGAUCUUAUAAUGAAACUUGCAAAACAAGGAAGAAUUCAUCUGGAUCUAGAUGAAGUAGUAGAGUCAAAUCAUGCUACAGUCACAUUUGGGUCCAUCGAUCCUGUUUUGUUACAUGUUCCACCUAAGACACUGGAGGCAUGCGCCGAUACUAUCCAAUGCGAGUCACCGAAACCAAAGCAAACGCAAGUGUCAUGUCAAGACACCAUUCGUCACUUCUAUUUUGAUAAUGAAUCAAUGUCGUAUAACGAAGAAUGUUGGACAUUGGUGACACGAAGAAGACCUCACAAGAAGCAGGAAUCUCAUCCCUACCUAAAUCUUCCUAGGAAGGAACAACGUAUGCAAAAUAUUCAUCGAUAUGCGAAGAAGAAAGAAGAAAAGAAACCUAAAAGAAAACAAGCGAUUGUAUAGGUUGAUGAUCUCUUGGUACAAAAGCUCAUCACCUCUAUCACCUUAGAAGAAUACUUCCCUCAGGAGUUCUUCAAUAGAGGGAUGGUGACUUCACUCAUAUGGUCUCUUAUCAUGAGAUUUCAAAAGAAGAUGAGUCAGGUAAAGAUGAAGAAAAAGCUUUCGGUGCAGAGCCAAGCAAAACCAAGAAAGAUGAUGAGAUACAUAGGAAUCCAUCAUUUUAUGCCACAAAAAUAAAGUGGGCAAAACGAUUUGAAGACAAAGGUCACGAUUGUGUGACAUGUUGUGCAAACAUCACCUACACCAGUGGCGAUGAAAAUGGCGUGACAUCAAAUUUUACCACAAUUGUUUUCAAACCUUGGCAUUCAAGUGAUGCUCCUUAAAGCAUGAACCUAAACUGCAUAUUGCUCCUAUCCUAUAAGAGCUUAAACUGUAGUAAAAAAAAAAAAAAAAUCAUUCUUGGCAAACUUCUUAAACCGAGGAACAAACCCUUUGUAUUAAAGAAGUCAAAUUCGGAGAUUCCAAACUAAAAUCUCUAACUUCUCUACAUACAAGUGUUCUUUUCUUUCAACAUGAUGCGUUCUCAAAAGGGCGAUGCAACCUAGAAGCUAAAUCCAAAAAUGAAGCUUCAAAAGUCAAAAUCAAACUCCAAACAUUCUUCAACAAGCUCGUGGAAGAAUAUCAAACACAAACAAAAGUGUCAUUCAUCCACCUUCAAAGCUAAAGAAGACAAGGAUGAGUUCUUCAAAACACUUGAGGAAAUUGUUGAUAAGUUUACUUGAGAACAAGUCAUCAUUAACCCUCAAUUAAAAUUUGCUCCAAGAACACGUGGUUACCACCCUUGGAUUAAAAUCAAGUCCAAGCUUGACACAUUCUUCAACAAGCUCGUGGAAGAAUAUCAAACACAAUACAAAAGUGUCAUUCAUCCACUUUUAAGACUGAAGAAAAUCAAGACAAAUGACUUCUUUUGUUCUCCAAAAUGCUUAAGAAAGGUCUUCAUAAGUUUGGUUGAGAAUAAGUCAUCUUUGACCCUCAAUUAAACUUUAUUCCAAGGACGUGAAUUUAUCAUCCUUCAAUCAAACUCAAGACAAGUGAUACUCCUGGCCUGUAUGAGCAUAAACUGUGUACGACGCACAAAAAAAAAAAGAAAAAAAAAAGUUCACUAAGUCGAAAACCUAAAAAGGCGACUUAGGCAAAAGUUAGGACAUAUGCUCGCAAGAUUAAAUCUUUCUUUUAGUCUUGGCAAAAGUUAAAAGCAAAAAAAAAAGAAAAAAAAAAUUCUUUUAGUCUUGGAAAAAGUUAGGACAUAUGCUUGCAAGAUUAAAUUUUUCUUUUAGUCUUAGCAAAAGUUAGAGUGUUUUUUUUUUUUUAAAAAAAAAUUCUGCUAAGUUGAAAACCUGAAAAGACGACUUAGGCAAAAGUUAGGACAUAUGCUCGCAAGAUUAAAUCUUUCUUUUAGUCUUGGCAAAAGUUAGAGCGUUAAAAAAAAAUAAAAAAAAUGGAACUAUGUUUGACUUGAUCCCCUCUCUUUGAAGGGUACAUAGGCAACUCGGGGAAACCACUCGAAUUCAAUCACUACCACAAAAAAAAAAAAAAAAAAAAAAAAAAAUUAUUACUUCAAGACUCGCCCCAUCUACAUGACAAUGCAUAUACGUGAUGAGUCUUGAAGUGGGGGCAUUUGUAAACAUAAAAAAAUUAGUGGAUUAAAUUACCACUAAUUUGGUCUUCUAAAAAAAAAAAAAAAUCAUCUUAUGGAUAAGUCUCUCUCAUCUCCAACUAUAAAAAGGAUACUAAUAAUAAUAAGAAAAUUAUUAUUAUUAUUAUUAUCUUGUUGGUAAAACCUUCCGGAUAAGAAAAUUUGCUAAACUUAAGGAACUAAAUCCCUUGAAUUAAGCAACUAAAAUUGGGGAUUCCGAAAUUAAAAUAGAGGUGUCUUCCAUCAAGAGGAGGGAAGAAAAUUCUAGAGAGGAGAAAAUUAAAAAAUUAGAGAAAAUUCUAGAGAGGAAAAUCCUAAGGAGAAAAUCCAAAGGUAACUUCGUAUAGGAGAAGGGGCUUCACAACAAUAGAAAGUUUCAUCAAAUCUCCUUGCAAGUUCGGUAAGCGGAAAAAGAACUAAUACACUCGUUCUUUGCCAUUCAACAAGGUCAUUCGGGAAUAAGCCACUUGUGGCCCUCGAUUGACCUUCAAAAUCAAGAAAACGUCAUCGUCGUCUUCCAAAGUGUGAUCAAGUCAAAAGAAUCAGAGGGAAAAAUAUUCUUUUGGAAAGAAUAUUAUUUAUUUCUGAGAUUGUACCCGCACUACAUUUUUAAAUUUAAUAAAUCAUUUGUUCGCAUUAAUUUUCCUAUUUUAUUUUGUUAAUUUUUGCAGGAUAAAAUUUUACAAAAUUUGUGCGUACACAUACUUAGUCAAAAGUGUCCAAUGCAGUAGUUAUCUAACCUCUGCACUCUUCUUCUUCUUUCCAUUUUCAUGUGCAUCGAAGCUUAGGUUGGAAGCAAUGAUUGCUUGUGUACCUUCUCUUUUGUGUUUUUUGUCUUCCGUGCAUAAGAUGAAGUGGAAAAUUUUAGUGAUAUGAAAUUCAAUCAAAUCUGCUAUUAUUAUAGUGCCUUGUCUGCACCUAAUGAAAUCAAAGGCUAUGGAAGAUUCGGAUAGAGCAAAACUCUUCAUUUUGCACCCAAAUUAGGAUGCUACACUUUGACUCAUCUUAAUCUUGUUUCCUUUUUUUUUUUUUCAUUUUUUUUAUUUUGAAUCCAUCAAAGUAGUAACCUCCUUAGACUAUUUUUGUUCUUUGUGUAAACACUAAGGAGAAGGGGAAAAAUGAAUAUUAAGUUUAUCGAAAUUAAUGGGUAUAGACUAGAAGCAUUUUGUCAAAAAUCUGAAAAUUCAGAUGUUGAAAAUCAUGUCAUUUAACCAUAUUUAUCUCAUGUAUAAUUGCUAUUCAGGAGAAACAUUUGAUAGUUUUUGGGGUUUAUGCAAUUUUGAAGGAGGGAAAAGGCUUCCCAAUUUACCUCCCUCAAUUGUCAUUUCUUAGAAUUCAAGUGGCAAUCUUAAAUGGACCUCAACAUUUUUUUUUCACUAACCAUUCUUUUACUUCUAUACAAAUCUUGUUAUCUCAUGUAUGGGGCAAAUGCAAUUUUGUGAUUUUCUAACUUCUUAAAAGUCAAGAAUUGAUUUUUUAGGCUCAUUUUUACAUUUUUAAUUCAGCUGAUUGACAUAAGCUUGAUGUUUGUUCUUUGAGUGGAAAUUUUGAUGGUUAUAGGAGAGAUACUUACUAAUUUUAUCUACUAGGUUCAAGGCAUUUGCUUUUUCUUCCUGCCAAUUUACUAAUUAUCAAAUUCCUUUUCUUUUUGGUUGGUUUUUCCCUUUCCUUUUUGUUUUCAUUUGAGGCCACCAUAUCUUAAGCAAUUCACAUCAUGAGAGAGUUAGCUCCAACCAAGUUGGCAAGAGAGUUAGCUACAGAUCAAGAUAUAAUAGCCUAGAUUGGCUUAUAAAUAUAUGAGAAUGAAAAUCUUACCAUUCUUUCAUUCUCUUUUAUUGAGCACCCAUUUUCCUUAAUGUAGAAUAUUUGAAACUCAAUAGUACGAAGAGAUACAAAAUUCAAAAGCAGUUUUAUAUUUCACAUAUGUCAUAGAGGUCUAAUUGAAAGACCAAUUGAAAGAAUCAAACUUUGGAUCUUAGGUGUUCAGUUAUAUGUUAUAACAUGUAUCACAGGUCUAAUCUACCUAAUUUGGCAAAUAAGAUGUUAGCAAGAUGAGGGUUAGCUUAGGAGGUCCCACAGCACAAGGCAAGCCACUUGUGAGAUUAAGCAAUCUGAUUAGGAAUACAUUGUUUGGCUUCACAAGCCAAUACAAGGCAAAAUUAAAACCUUAAUAAUUUGAUUUUAACCAAAAUUGAUGUCUUAACCACAAUGUUUCCUUUCUAAAUGAAUUAAGAUGGUUCAAUUUGAAUGGAACCUAAUUAAUUGGGAGAUUCAAAUAAGGUCACUUGCUGUUAGAAAUUGUUGUAAAGAGGAACUAACACAAACUUUUGAUCAAACUUUGUCUUGCAUCAUGUUUGGCCCUCAAACCCAUAUUUCACCUAAUUGAUUUGGUGAAGAGGCUUCAAUGUAUCCACACUAACUAUUUGGGAUUCAUCAUUUUUUCUUUUGGUUGAUCAUUCUUUUUUUUUUUGCUUUCUUUUUUUCUUUGUUCAUUUUUGGUUUUCAAGUUACAGAUCAUUUGAUAAAAGAAACAGUAACAAUUUUUUUUUUUUUUACUUUUACCUUAAUGUACUUUCAUUUUUGGGUGUUAGGAGUCUUGUCUAGUGUUUUUUCCCCAGUUUUUCAUGUUUUUGGGUUUUCUCAAAAUAUAAUGUAACUUCAAAGUUCCAUCAGAGAAAAAGAAAAAAAAAAUGCAAUCCCUAUCAAAGAAACAAAGAUUCAUUUAAUGAUUUCAUCUUACUAGUCCCUCUAGCCAUAUAUCUAAAAGGGGUUUACUAUUAAGCUUCUUGUUUAGUUAUUUGCUAACAUCAACCAUCUUCUUUAUCCAUUGACUACCCUAUGUAUCAAUAAUCUAAAAAACUCCCCUUUCAAUACUUCACUGUGUUUCACUAGCAUAAAAACAAGUUUAUAGCCUAACUCUCCACAUGAUACAAUGAGCUAUAAUGCAUUGUAUUCCGUCUCCAAACCUUUUACUUUCUUUUAUGUCAUUUCCAUUUGAUUUUUCUUUUUCAUUCUUUGAUUGGGUGGGGGCAAUAGGCAUCUCUCUCAUUUGCCCCCUGCAUUUUGAAGAUAAGACAUUUCCUUUUUCUUUCUUGUGUAAAUGCACCUUCUAUGGCUAGGUCUUUCUUAAGUUGAAUAAGAAGCCAGUCCCUAGUAGGGCCAAUAUCAUCACUCCAAUGACAUGUUUGCUUAUUGGUAGGGUGAACAAAGUGAGACUUUGGCAAGACGACAGUAAAGAGAAAGCAAGAAAAGUUGAAACCUUUGGAGUAGCUCUAUUGAUAUCUUGAAAAAAGGAGGAAACAACAAGAUAUUAAUGAAAAAAACUCUUUCCUAUUUUUCUUAGAAAAUGUGAUAGAAGUUUGAUAAAAUUAAUAAUUAAUAGUUUCCUAAUUUCUUUCAGUAGAAAUGGUAACAACAUAAAACUGUUUCAGAAGUUUUACCAUUAAGUCUGGAUUUUAUCAUGCGGGGGAUUUACCUUAAGCAUGAUAGAUAACCAGUAAACCCUUGACCAAAACAAUAGGAUUGCAAUUAGGGUUGCCAUCUCUCCAACCUCAUCACACAAAGGUGGACAAUUUGAUAUCAACUUACUGGUUUGGAAGAAACUUAAUUUUUUUUCCCUUUUGUUCCUUUUUUUUUUUUUUUUUUUUCGUUUUUGAUAUUGAAUAUGCUAAAGCUAAAUGUGAUUGCUAUGAAAGUGAAUUACUUACAAUAAGCAUAAGAAAAUUUUAAAAAUGAAUUUGUUUAUUAACUUAAUUUGUUCUAUAGAGCAAUUUUAUCAUGCAAUGAUUUUUCCUUUCUUUCUUUCUUUCUUUCUUUCUUUCUUUUGAUCAUUGUAUGAAUUAUUAUAAUAAUAAUAGUAAUAAAUAACAAGUAAUAGUCUUUACAAUAUAAAGUUUUAUGUGAAAAGAAAUGCUUGAGAAAUUAAGUUUUUUUCUAAGAAACAAAUGAAAAAAUGAGUGAAACAUAAAAUACUUUUUUUUUUCCUUGUAUUCACAUAAUUGAAGUAUCCUAAAAUGAUAAUUAAGUAUAUAGAGCAUCUUCAUGAGUCGAUUUUGGUCUUCAAAUAUUGAACUUGUGAAUUUACUUGUUGGCUUUGUAUUUAAACUACCUUGAACUCAAUGAUUUAAAUAUGAAAUCCUGUACAAAUUUGCAUGCAGGUAUUAGUCUGAUGCCUUUCUUUGAGGUUAUGAUCUUUCUAAACUCCCCCCUGAUUAGAUCAUAAGUAGAAUGAAAAUUUUAGAGUCCUAAGUAUGGCCUUUCUAAGGUUCUCUUUUAAAAUACAAGUUAAUAGGUUCAUUAUGUUGCAUGACUAGUUUGUUAUCUCUUAAAUUCUAUUAUUAUGUCUGCAUUCCAUAUUUUGACAAAUUGAAAAAUAGCAGUAGAUGUUGCUUUAUAUUUUUAUUAUAAAGCAACCAGAUUUUUUAUUAUACUAAAAACAAUCUUUAUAUUUUGGUUUUUUAAAUUAGGUGUUUAUUACAUAUUCCAGGCCUAAGUAGUUCAAUAAUUUAUUCUUUAAAGAUGGUUUGUACUUAUAAGUAGCUAUCCAAGACAAAUUCAGCAAAUUAAGCUUAAGGUGAAAAUUUUCAAAUUAUGAAAAUUUUACAUUUGUCAAAAGAAAUGAAAAAAACCAAGUUCUUAUGUGGAAUAUGUUUAUUUUUAUUGAUCUUAAAGGCUAAGUUCUUUGCCUGACUGCCGAAGAAGUUGUUAGACAGGUCUAAGCAGGUGAAGUUUGAAGCAUUUAAAAUAAAUUAGAAGACCUGCAAAAUGAUAAUUAUUUGCUAGUGAUAAUAGUUGUAGCCUCAACCUUCUUUUUUUGUUUUUGAUAUUAAGACAAUUAGUUUUUGUUGAUUAAAAAAAAAAUCAAACUUAAUUUGCAAAUUUAAGGAUUGGCCAAAAUCUUUAGGAAAGUAAUAAUACUCUUGGAGACUUACUUAUCUCCUUACAAGGACUACAAAUGAACUAAUUAUCAUUCUUAAUCUAUUUCACGCUUCAUUUUAGAUCUGAAUUUUUCUUACUUACUCUAUUGUUGCCCAAAUUUCUUAAUAAUUUUUCCUUCCCUAGUCAUUCUGCCCAAGAAUUUGAAUAUAACCUCUAAAUAAUCAUCCAAAAUUUCAACUCUUGACAAGCAACCACACUUGGACACUCAUAGUUCCACUCUCCUUACAGUAUAAGAUUCUAAACUUAAGGAAUUUUGAUUUCUUGUUUAGUCUUUUUGUCUACCUUGCAUGUUAUUGGUAAAGAUAAUGGUAGCUCCACACAAGUGGAAUGACAUGAGUAAGGUACAUGUUGCUACAAGGAUGAGAUGGAGACCAAAAAAAUUUCUGUCACGAUUUGAAUUGUUGCCCAAAGCAGGUUCUCUUAUUGCCAAAUAUAACUCUCAAAUUAAGCUCAUUUGUAAUGUCUGGGCAAAUUAUAUGCUAAUAAUGUCCAAAAGCUGAUGGCUAGUGAGGUUUGUGUCUAUAUGAAUGUGCUUUUGGGUUUUGAACAUUGAUUUACAAGCUAGAGAUUAAAUAUGGAAUCUUGUUUGUUCUACAAAUGUUGGAGAUGUUACAAUAUUACAACUGUUGAUUUUCUAUGAUGCCUUGAUGUCUUUUGAUAAACUUAGAAUGAAUUGUGGACUUUGGAAGGGAGGAUUUCAUCAAUAAGCAUGUAAGAAAACACCAUAAGCACAUGUUAGUAUGAAAAUGACUAAACUGGGGUAUGAAUACCUAAAAAUGUUAACCUUGUACCUAUAGUAAAAUAAUGGAAGUUCAAACUCUGGAAAUCAUGUGUUUUUCCUUUUUAAAUUGAUCCAUGCAUGAAAAUAUGAAAAACAUUGCUGAGGUUGUGGCCAUUAACAAUAUAUCCCUAGAUUGGAAAAGGUACACCGUUGGGCUAACCUAGAACUACAAGCUAGGAUAAGAAUUAGUCACAAUCAUGUACCUACAAAAUCUACUUAUAAUUUCUAGGGAACUUUGGAGUGCAUUUACAUGUGUGUGUAUACAUGUUUGGAUGUAUAUAUAUGUUUACAAGAUAAAAACAAAAACUUGUACUAGAUGUAGGCAAAUGCAUUCACUAGAUACAAAAAUUUCCUUGUGUCACUUGUUGAGACCAAAGAAAUACAUAUUUGGAUGUGGUGAUUAGAUUUCAACAUAGCCUUCUUGAUGGUUUGGUUCUUGAAUUAUGAGGCGGUAGUGUCUAUUGUACCCUUAAAUUUUACUCUGUAUCAAGUAAUUACUAAUUUAUGGAGGCAAAAAUUCCUUGUCUCAUGAAAGGAAUAACAGUUUCUUGUUCAUAUUAUUUUGUUUGGAUGUGGGGUUUCUAUAUUAUUCAAAAUGCGAUUUUGAUUGCGUGAUUGUUGCAACUCAUAUUUUGUCUGUUGUUUGUAUUAUGCCUGUAGGGUAAUAUGAUACUAUCAGAUAUUGGACUUGUUGAGAAGCGAAUAUAUCAUGCUACUCUCAAUGGUAAUAAUAGUCUAUGUAAUGUUUUGCAUCAAAAACACAAUUGAUAAUACCAUGGCCUUCGCCCCUAGUCCAAGUUGGUUUCUUUAGAUUUUGUUCAUGAAUGACAUUUUAUUCAAAUACGCAUUGGUGUGUUGUUACUCGUGUAAUCUUUUUUCUUAUUCAUAGAAAAAGUAACUAUUUAAAUAUGUUGUUCUAUGUCCUCAUGGAUCUUUGUUAACAAAACAUUAAAUCUCAAAGCUUCUUGACCUUUCUUUUUUAAUGUCAAGUCAUUUUCUCAAUAUGUUGAUCUAAAAAGUCUCUUUUGUGUUCCUGCAGGUUUGUUUUGUUGAUGCUAAUUGAGACUCACCAUCUGUAUAUAUCCAUUGUAUGAUUUUAUUUUAUUUUUGGCUAAAAAAGGGUUUAUAAUAGAUAUCAUGUUUAGGAGAAGCAUUUUUAUUGACAUUUGAGUUUUGUAUUUUUUCCAAAUUUUGGAAUAUUACCAUGAAGCUUUUGUGCCAAUCUUGAAGGGGUUAGCCCUUUUUUUUUUUUUUUUCUAUUUACCCAAUCUACACUUGCUAUUGGAGUUGAAAAUGAUCCAGAAAAAAUUGUUGUUAUGAGGUGGUUGGGAUAAGGUCAAGUUGCUAUUGCAGCAUGAAAUUAAAUGUAAUAUCAAAAGAAAGAUUAUGCUUACUCAAAUUCUUAGAAGAAAAAUUUUAAACGGGAUAUCAAAAUAUCUAGAUUAAAAUUCUUAGAAGAAAAAUGUUUCUGAUCCACACGCCAUUUUUAUAGUCUUUUGAAGGAUUUAAUGGGGAACCUCACAAAUGAGCCUAACAAAAAAAAAAAAUUAAUAACCUAUAGCCGCGGCCAACUCCAAAAUGCAACUAUAUGCCAUUUGGUGGGCCAAAAACAAGAUGCAACUGUAAGAACCAUUUGCUGUAUUUUACUGUGGCUGUUACUGUUGCUUUGACUUUUGUUGCACUUUACCUGUGGUUGCUACUAUUACUUUAACUUGUGCUUACGGUCAACUUCACAACUGAACCUAUAAGAAAUAGUUGCACCACUUAUGGGUACACCAUGUGGCGGUCAGCUUGGUGUGUAACUAUAAUGGCCAGCUUGGUGUGCAACCAUAAUUUGCAGCCACAUCUUUUCAGACCUCUAGUGAGGGUCACAAGCCGCUGCUAUAAGACAUUAAUCCUGUAGUGAAAUGAAUAAAUAAAUAAAUAAUAAAAGGUUACCCAAAUCCAAAGAAUGGAGAGAGAUUGUGGUAGUGGGCUAUGAUGGCGUCGGGGCAACGAGAGGAGAUGGUUUUGGCGGAGAAGCUUGCAGCUUGCUGGUAGUGCGCGUGGUAGUAAGGAUGAGGUGGAGGCACUGUGAAUGAAGCAAAUCUGACCAUGGUGGUAGGACUAUGAGGAAGUGGGUAGUAGAGGUGGAGCCAUGGAGAAAAACAACAAGAUGGGGAAAGACGGGCGAGAGUGAGAAAUGAGAUAUGAGAAUGGGGUCGGAAAGUGGGGCCGAGUGGGAGAGAGAGAGAUAGAAAAAGAGAAAUAAAAAUGGAAAAACAAAUGAAGAGAGAGGUGGGUGGAAUAGUGGGUGAGAGAGUGAUAGAAAAAGAGAAAUAAAAAUGGAAAAACAAUUGAGUGCACCCCGCAAGGUAUGCAGGGAGGUUUUCUUUGCUUUAUUAUUUAUUCUUUUAACUUUUGGAAUCUACAGCUACCCUCUGCUAUGAUCCGAAAGUUCAAGCCAAACUCCAUUUUUUCUAAUAAUGGGUAAUUUAUUUUCCCAUCAUUAAAAAUAUUUUAUUUUUAAGUGAAAGUCAGUUUAUUAUUAUUAUUUAUAUUGUUGUAUUAAAUUAUAUGAUUCUUGGCAUCUCUCUGACUUUGGACCAACUUUAAAUUUAUUUCUUGUUAAUCCACCACGUCCACCAUGCAUGUUACCUAAAACACUAUUAUAAUAAACAAGUUGUGUUUAAAGAAACAUUUAUAUUGAUAUUUACUUGAUUUCUAGCUCACUUAUAAACGUCCACUAUGCAUGUUACCUAAAACACUAUUAUAACAAACAAGUUGUGUUUAAAAAAACAUUUAUAUUAAUAUUUAUUUGAUUUCUAGCUCACUUAUAAACGUCCACCAUGUAUGUUACCUAAAAUACUAUUAUAACAAACAAGUUGUGUUUAAAGAAACAUUUAUAUUGAUAUUUACUUGAUUUCUACCUCACUUAUAAAUGUCCACCAUACAUGUUACUUAAAACACUAUUACAACAAACAAGUUGUGUUUAAAGAAACAUUUAUAUUGAUAUUUACUUGAUUUUUAGCUCACUUAUAAACGUCCUUUCAUGUUACCGAAGUUGGUGGAGGAAGGACAGACCCAAAAAAGAUUGAGAAAAAAAGUUGCAAAAACAUGGAAGGCUUUGAUGGUUCAGAGUAUCUUUCAGGUUGGGGAUUGUCAAUGAUAGCCGUUCAAAUGGCUCUAAAAGCGGCAAUGGAGCUCAAUGUCUUCAACAUCAUUGCCAACGCAGGCCCUAAUGCUCAACUCUCUUGUGUGGAAAUUGUUUCCAAGAUUCCUACUACCAAUCCAAAUGCUGCCGUGGCUUUGGAUCGGAUACUAAGAACGCUCACCUUCAACUCCAUUCUAACAGCGUCUCUGAGGCCAUGCAAGGAUGGAACCACGAUAAAGCAAGAAAGGACGUAUGGCUUAACGCCGAAGUCGUGCAGCCUAGUGACCGACAACGUUGAAGUUUCUUCAACACCGACGGUGAAUUUCUGCACGGAAAGGGUAGUUGUGGAGAGCUUCUAUAUGCUCAAGUACGCAGUGCUUGAGGCGGAUUGUCAUCCUUUCCACAAGGCUCAUGGCGUAAAUGUGUUCGAGUAUUUGUCCAAGGAUCCAAGGUUGAGCCGAGAGUUCAACGAGGCUAUGACAAUGAACUCCAAAAUUGUAUUGGACAUGGUGCUAAAGGCCUAUAGGGGCGGUUUUGAAGAGACGAAAGAGAUUAUGGAUGUAGGGGGCAGCAUUGGAACUUCGGUUGUGAAGUUGGUUUCUGUUUAUCCACACAUUCGUGGAAUAAACUUCGAUUUGCCUCAUGUUAUUGCCGAUGCUCCUGAGCAGCCAGGUUCGUUUUAAAUCGAUAGGAUUAAGGAGAGGUCAAUGACAUCAACUCUAGAUUAUAAUGUUUAUGAUGCAAGUUACAAGCCUAUUUAAGAAGAAAUGCUCAAACUCCUCCACAAUGAAUCCUAUUUUUCUUUAAUUAUAUAUGUCCUGCUCUCUCUAAAUAGCAAUUGUUGGUAAUUUUUUUUUUUUAAUUCUUGAAUAUUUGUAUAAGUAUAACAAUUAGACUACGGAUCUAAAUGAGCAGGUCACCCAUCCUGACUCCUUUAUUCCCAUUCUAGUCCAAAGUCACAUUGACUAGUGAUUUGAUUAUGAUUUUGAAGGGGUGACCCAUGUGGCUGGAGAUAUGUUCGAGUCAUUACCGAAUGCAGAGACAAUUUUAUUGAAGGUUUGUCUUUUUCUUUAAAAAUUUUGAUAGCCAGGCAUGUUAAUUAUAACGUCAUUAAUUUCCUUAAUUAUAAAUCAAUCUUGAUAAUUGUGUGUAGAAAAUUAGAAAUCUAAACUGAAACUAAACAUGGGAAGUUGACGCAUGGUUCAUGCAGUUUGUACUCCAUGACUGGGGUGACGAUGGGUGCAAGAAGGUGUUGAGAAAUUGCUGGAAGGCAUUGCCGGAAAAUGGGAAGGUAAUAGUUGUGGAGUAUGCUAUCCCUCAAGUACUGGGAAAUGACCCUCCAUCACUGAAUGCUACGGUAGCAGACUUAUACAUGAUGAUUUUGAACACUGGUGGCAAGGAGCGCACACUUGCUGAAUUUGAACAUCUUGCAAAGGCUGCGGGCUUUGCCCAAACUAAGGUGUUUCCCAUUGCACAUGGGAUUCAUGUUAUAGAGUUUUUAAAGAGCUGCUAGAGUACUAAAGUAAUUCCCUCCUCUCUCUCUCUCUCUCUGCCUCACUCUUCAUGCAUGUACUCUUCUUGUUGUAAUGCAUUCGGAAUUAUUUCAUCCUACCUAAAUUAAUAAAGUGACAACUACUCACAGCUGGAACGUUCUUCUUAGCUUCUUGAAGUUUAAUUUAUUUGUUUUAUUUACAAAAUUAGAUAGAUGUUUGAGAUGUUUCCUUUCUGUCCAUCUCUUAUGGAAGAUACCUUUAUAUUUUUUGGUUUUGAAGCAAUCUUGCACUUAAAACCGUGGCAUCUUCUAGUGUAAUUUCUGAUGAUAUAUAAUCUAAGAAUGGGAGCAUAUACGUCAAAACUGAGCUUGUGUAGGCCUACAAUGAAACUCAACCAGAUUACCACCGUGACCCAUUUAUAUCCGUAUAUAUUGUUGAUUCACCAAACAAUGGCCUAAACUUUUGGUUCUAUAAAUCGCUUAAUACAAUGAUGCUAAACUCAACCAUAUAUAUCAAGAGAAAUUAUUAUAUUAUAGAAAUUGCAUUCAUGAAAUGAAUAGUACUCCAUGAAUGGGAAGAUGGUAACUGUGUGAAGAUGUUGAGAAAUUGCUGGAAAUCUGGUUGUGGAGCUUCUAGUCUCUCAAGAAUUGGGAAUCCACACAUGGAAAUUAAUUUUUUCCCUUUCGUGAUUCUCCACCCCUCCUUUGUAGUGCCAAUACUUCUUUUUCAUGUAUUUUUGCUUUUCACAAUGAUAACAUUUAACUUUCUUCUUACCUUGGCAUUUUGACCUCUUUUGGUUGUGACACCCACUAGAACCACAUUCUCUUGGUCUUCCUUUAGAUAUAAUUAGAGCUUGAAUAUGUUGAGAAAAUGAUAUUUUGUCUUCCUUGGUUUUUGCCCUUACUUUCUUCCUCAAGCGUAGUAUCCACAACAUUAUUAAAUAUUAACAUCGUCUUUAAAGCACCAUUAGCCACAUUUAUGAUGAGAUAAUUAUAUGAAUGGGGUAGACUUUGGAGCAAAAGUUCAACAUGUCCUUCCCUUUUAUGUUAUGUUCUAUAGACUCUUCAUGUUUGAUGUGCUUAGUCAUCAAAGUUGAUUUUGACAUCCAAAGGAUAUAGAGUGUUCUUUUUAAGAAGAUUUUUUUAUACAAUGACUUGACUUCAUAUAGUUUUGCCAAAGUAUCGCCGACUAUAUUAUUAACUACCUCUAAAUGCAAGCUUGAAAUGACAUCCCUAUUCAUUUUUUGUCUUUUAACAUUUUCUAGUCUUUCACCGGUUACUUCUAAGCAAUCUUAUUUUCUGAUCUUUCACUAAUUACUUCUAAGCAAUUUUCUUCCCUCGAGAUGACUUUCAUUUUCAUUUUCCACAACUCAAAAUUUUUUUAUAUGCUCAAGUAAGCGAUGCUUGAAGCGAAGUGUCAUCCUUUCCACAAGGCUCAUGGAUUAAAUGUGUUCGAGUAUAUGUCCAAGGAUCCAAGGUCGAGCCGAAAGUUCAACGAGGGUAUGACAAGUAGCUCCAAAAUUGUAUUGGACAUGGUGUUGAAGGCAUAUAGGUGUGGUUUUGAGGAGAUGAAAGAGGUUAUGAACGUAGGGGGCGACAUUGGAACUUCAAUUGAGAAGUUGGUUUCUGUUUAUCCACACAUUCGUGGAAUAUAAACUUCGAUUUGCCACAUGUUGUCGAUGCACCUCACCAACCAUGUUGCUGGAGAUAUGUUUGAGUCAUUACCAAAUGUAGAAACAAUUUUAUUGAAGGUUACACCAUUGAAAUGAUUCUAACACAGUCUAGUCUUUUUAAAAUUUAAAAAUUAUUAUUUUAAAUAAAUUUUUUUGUUUCUUUAACUUUAAUUUUUUUAAAGCUUAGUUAAAUUAAUAUAUAAUUUUAAUUAUAAUAUAAAAAUAAAUUUAAAUUUAAAAUUUACACUUUUUUAUAAUUUUAUUUAAUGUUUUAAUUAUAGAAUAUUUUUAAUCUUUAUAAUGACAUAUAGAUACAAAUUUUCUCAGUUAGUUAUUUAAUUUUCUUAAUUAUAUGAUAUUUAUGAAUAAAAAUAUUAUUCUGCAAUUUUCUUUAUAAUUUUUAAAUUUAUAAAAUGAAUAAAUUUGUAAGUGUUACACAUAUUAUAAAUGACUUGGAUCAUAAACAUAUCAUUUUGAUACGAUUAAUUUAAUAUAUCAUUUUAACACAAACAAAUAGAUAGGAUAAACAAAUCAAACAAUCAAGUCCAAAUACAAUCGACUUAUUAAAAGAAUGAUAUGGAUUAAUAUAAUUACGAAAUGGAUACCAUUAUAAUCAUGCCCUUAUUAAUAACAACUUGUUAAUACUUAUUAAUGUUAUUAGUUAACUAUUGUAAUUAUAAUAUAAUAACCCAUGUUGCAUCUGGCGUGGGAUUAUCCAACUUUGACUAAAAUAAUCCACAAACAAUGUUAGUCGGUUGUGAUCUUAGUUCAAAUGAGACAACUUUUAAAACAUAUAUAAAAUUUCUCAAUUACAAAAGAUGUAGGCUUUAGCAUAAUGGCUAGCCACGACACUUUUUGGGGGACAAACAUUAGGCCUGAGGUUUGAUUCCCUUUGGGUCAUGUCUGGAUUGGCAUGGUGUACAUUGGGUCAAGGUCUAAAUUUCAUUCUUCUUUUUUAGAUGUUUUCAUGCAAUAUACCCAAAAACCCAAUAUUUACUUUUUCUUUUGCCUUUUUUUUCCUUUUUAUUUUUAUUUUUAUUUUAAAUUUUUUAAAUUUUUAAAUUUUUAAUUUUUUGGUUUUUUUCUUCGUCAAAAUGCAAUGGCUUUUAAUAUAAGUCUCUCUAUUUUGCCUUUGGAGAUUUCCGCACAAAUUCAAAUGUGAUGCAAGUAGUUGAAUUGCAAUAUUCUUACCCAUAAAAUCAUGGUCAAGAGAAUUCAAAUCUAGUUAUGUAAACAUUUGUGGGCCAGUCUGGGCAGGAGUGGGCUCACUCUAGGAUAGUAAUUUUUGGGUUGGGCCAGAGUAGGCCCAGUUCGACUUCACUUAGACUUGAAAUGUGCAAUUGGUUAGGCCGAAGUUAAGAAAAAAUUUUAAGAUGAUUUAAAGCACUUUUGAUAAAUCAACUUAUUAAUGUAAUAUGUGUUCCAAUAACAUAUAUAUGAUAUGAUUUAUGUAAUAUAAAAAACUCAAAUCAUUUGGUUUAACUCAAAUUGACACUAAGACCCUAAUUAGGAAUUUGACAUAUAUUUUAAGCUUAAUUUAAGGUUUAAGGGAGGAAAAUGAUACAAGUUGGAAAAAUAAUUCUCAAUCAAAAUAGACUAAGGGAUCAAUUAUGCCUAAAUAGAGAUUCAGCACUAGUGAGACAUGAGAAGGAUCCAUGCAAGGGGAAAACAAAGAAUUUAUGAAUAUUAAAUAUGAUAACUUAAUGUUAUGGAUGGAGGUAGAGGAAAAGCAACCAUGAGAAAGGAGGUUGGAAGUAAAUGUAAUCAAGCUUAAAAUGGAAUUUGGAGCUUAAAAUUGGCAAUAACACAUAUCUUAAUUUUAACAUGAUUUUUGAAGCACUUUCCAUGAUCUUUUUGGGGCAAACCAUAUAUAGUUUUGAAGUUCAAAAAGUCAAAAGUCCAAUGUUUUAAAUAGUGUGUAAAUUGGAGCUAAAAUGAAGAAGUUAUGAUCAUUUGAAAAUAACUAGGUAGAGUAGAAGGAUCAUUUUGAAAUAAUUUUGAAAAUUCAACUUAUGAUUUUGAAAUUCAUUUUGAAAUUACCCCGAUUUCAAAAUCACACACUGCCACUUCUAGAUUUCACCUCUUCGAGCUUGAUAAUUGUGUCUUGGGCACUCCAUCAACCUUAAGUGAGCCCCACAUGAUUGAAAAUCAAGAUUCUAGCCUUUUUUUUUUUUUUUUUAGUUAUCUUUUGGUAAUUAUUUUAGGAAAUAAGUGGUCAAUUGGUGCAUGUCACGUGUGUUUUUGUUUUUUUAAGAGGAGAAUUCUCUACGAUUCUUAGGGGAAAGGAAGAUCUUGAAGGUUUUUCUUGGUUUGUUUUCUUUCUCUUUGUAUUAGUGAAUAAAUUAUUGUUUUUAAUUUUUUGAAAUUAAGAAUAGUUCUUUCUUGUUCUUUUAUGACCUAUGUAUGUAAGAACACAUCCAUAAAAGGUUAAAAAGUUAUCUUAGGGUGAAACAUGAAAACCUAGUGUUAGAUAGAAAGGGAUAUAAUGAGUUAAAUCAUAUUAAUAAUGAAAUGAAUGAAAGGUUAAGACGCUAAUAUUAAGAUCAAAAUGCCCUCUAAAGUUAGUUUGACUUGGGAGAUGACACAAUUGCACAUUCUUUGAUAUUGUGGAUUCUUGGUAAUUCUUUAUCUUAGUCAUAUGAGGUUUGGUCAUUGUUAUCUACCCCAAAGCAAACCCAUGAAGAGUGGUGAAAACCUAAAAAUAUUAUACCUAAACUUAUAUUUCAUCUUCAUUCGUCUAUUAGGUAAUUUAAAAUGGAAUAAAAUAUUAAAAGUUAAGACAUAGUUCAAACUUUGAGAUAUGAAACUUAGGUUGAUCUCGUUAGAACAUAUAUUUUGAUUACCCUAAUACUAAUUAAAUUAUAUACCCUUGUUUCGUCUAAAAGUUUAUACCCUAAGUUAGAUUAUGGAACCCUAAUAUUGAUUAAUUGAAUUGAAAAUCAAUAAUCAUUUUUCAAUUUAAAUAGGUUUAUUUUAGGAAAUCUUUAUUUAUAUUUUAUUUUGAUUUAUUUACAUUAGUUUUUUUUAACCUUUAGCAAAUAAUUAAUCUUUCUAAUCUAAAAAUAAUUGAACCAUUAGAAUGGAUCCUAGAGGACGACAACCCAAAAUAUCACAAAGUCGUGGUAACUGACCCUAUCUCUAGUUUUUCUUGGUCAGGGUUAUCAUAUAUUUUAGUAUUUUAAUUACAUUAAAAAUUUGCAGUUACUCUACUACUUGUUAAUAAGUUUUAUCUUAUCUCUUUCUAAAGCACUCUAACUCCUUCACUUCAAUAGGGUUUUCUUAUGAAAACAAAAUUCUAAAAGAUAAUAGAGAGAAAAGAGAGACACAAACACAAUGAUAUAUUGUGGAAGAUAUAUAUAUAUAUAUAUAUAACUACAUGUCAAUCACAAAUGCAACAUCCACAAUAAAUAAAUAAAAAAUAAAAAUUGAGUACAACAUUUUACCUAACCCAAGACCUUCAAUCUCUCUCUCUCUCUCAUAUUGCUUAUCUAGUAUUUUAGAAAACUCAACAUCUAACUAUCUUCAUAUAAAACCUAUGUAGAAUCACCUCCAAACACUAUUUUUAUCUCUUCCUGAUACUCACAUGAGAAGAUAUUUAAGUUUUAUCCUACAAUAUGAUGAAAGAGUGUAGAGAUGGAGAGCAACAAUUAAACAACCCAUUUUAAAGGAAAAUUUUUCAUUAGAAAGAGAUUUUUUAGCUUAAAGACCCACAAACUUUCCCUAGUAACAAACACCUCCCAAAUUUUGGCAAAGAAUUUGAAGCUUAAGGAGCCAAUCAACUCUCAUAUUUAUGAAUCCCUAAUUUGAAAAUGAGUUAAAUUAGUAGGAACUUAGACCUAAUCCAAUAGCUCAAUUGAUUUAGAAAGAAAUGAAAUUUUAUAUGUUGUGAUCAAAUUUGGUUGAUCGCAUAUAAAUACUAAAACAUUUUGGAUUAUAAUUGUUCUAUCACCCUUUAGUGGGAUUUUUAGAACUUAAAUCAAUUGAUUUAAAACAAAGUCUUUUAUACCUUUUAAUAAAGCAUAACAAUUUGAAACUUGGUCAAUCAAUUUUUGAAUCCAUCCAUCACCUCAAAUCACUCACCAUUUUCUCUAUCUUCAAUCAUAACUAUUUUUAAAAUGAUAAGAGUCUAAACCAUCAAAGCUAAGGGUGCACGAUGGAAAUUUUAUCCCAAAAUUGCCUAUGUAUAAAGGUACUCACAAUCUCUCCCUUGGAAAUUCUAAGAUAAACCCUUUACAACCUUAUAUAUAUACCCUACAUACUCUCAUACAAGGUACACACACUCACUCAAUCUCAUAACUUCGUUAGAUACUACAAUAUAUGCAACCAAAACUUAAUAAAGAGUAAGUAGCACUUGUAUACUAAUGAUAAAAUAAUAAGAGCAAUCAACUUGUAGAAAUUUCUCCUCUUUUUAAUCUUAGAAAGAGACAAAGGGAAAUAUGAAAAUCUUUUCAAAGACAAAUAAAUUCAUAAUAGACACAAAUAGUGAACCUAAAAACAAACUCAAAUAGAGCACCAUACAACUAUAUAUAUAUAAGGAAAUUAAGCAAGAAGCUAUGAAGUAGAGCUCUAUAAAAAUAACCUUCUAGAAAUAUGAAAAAACUAAAAUUAAGCAAUAGAUUUUUGUUAUCUCAUGGGUUCUCCUAAUUACUUUAUGAUGAUAACAAAAUAAUAUUAAAUAUACUAACAUGUAUAAUCAUGUGAAGAUUUUAGGUUUAAUCAUUAAAUUUAAAACAAAGCUCAAGUAUGCUAAUUAUAGAUUUAAAUAGUUUGAAGAAAUGGAUUUUUUUAAGACUCAAAAUAUCUAGGAACUUAUGGAAGAUGAAUCUUACGGGUGUACUAAUUAGGAUAAAAUAUUUUUUUUAUGCACUUUUAAAUGGUUUUCAUUCAUAAAUAUGUGCUUUACUUCAAAACCUUAGGCUUAGUUGUUUAAAAAUUGACUUAUAAAGGUUUUUAAAUGAAAUAUUCAAGUAACGGAAGAACAAAACUUGAAACCAAAGUUUUCUAGGCUAUUUUUUGUGCAACUAGUCAAGCCCACUAGGGAAUUGGUUCAACCAAUUAUGCUAUUUUUUUUAAACUUGGGUUGAGGUUUAAGGAUGGUAUGGAGUAUUGCCUUGUCCCACCUUAUAUAUGAUAUUAAAUAAAAAAUUAUUUAAUUUAUUUUAUUUUCACAUUUUUAAGCAUAUAUAAAAUAAAAAAUUACAUUUCAUAACAAUAAAGUAUAAAAAUGUGAUAUUUAUUUAUAAACUACGUUUGUUUUAAAUAUAAUUUAAUAAAUAAAUGGAACUAAUUUUCUAUAUUAUGUGAGUUUUAUAUAUAUAUAUAUAUAUAUAUAUAUAUAUAUAUAUAUAUAUAUAUUUAUGAUAAUGAGAAUAAAUAUAAAUAAAUGAAUAAUAUUGAGAUAGGUGAUCUCACCCAAAGUGGUCCUAUUAUCAUCUUUAUUCUAAGGUACGUAAAUGGUUAACACUAAUCUAAUUUCCCAAAACAUAAAAUCCAAUUCUAAUUUUUCAAUGCAAAUUUUAAUUUUUAUCAAAAACACUUUAUCAUAAUACAUCGAAUCACCAAAAAUAUAAGAAAGAAAAAAAAAAUGUUAAAAGGGUAUUAAAAGUGAUUCCUCAUUUUACUUUUUAUUUACACUUUUUUUUUUACCUUUUUUUAAUGUAAUGGAAUGUAGAUUUUAAAAUGUAUAAAUUUCAUUUUUGGUAGUUAUCAUAUUUAAUUUUUCUUUUGUAUAUGUUCAUCCAAUUAAAUGGAUCUAAAUAAAAUCGUAUUUCUGUUUUAUUUAAAUCAUCAAAUAAUGUUUUUAAUAAUUAAUUUAUCAAAUAUUUUGCAACAAAGGCUCCAUGAUUAUUAAAUAAUAAGUUGAAAAUCCAUCCCUGUCACCUUUGUGGGAUAGGGAUGGAUGUCUGGGAUAUUUGUCAAUAAUUUUUUUUACUUUUUAAUAAAAUAAUAAUUUAAAAAAUAUAAAAAUCAUUUUAUUUAAAAUACAAGUCACAAUUAUUUCAAAUUAUUUUAAAAAAACAUAAUAGUUUUGGCUUUAAAUCAUUUCUGGUAGAUAUUGUCUAAAGGCAAAGGGCAUAACUUGGUGCCAUGUGGCCCGUGGCUUUAUACAGUUGUAAUAUGAGCAAGUUGCGCAAGGAAACUUUGGAGAGGACAAAGUGAAAGGUGGCGAUGGGGCCACGUCAUCACUACAGACCAAACUGAUAGUUUGAUUAAAGACAGUGGGUCCCAGCGUUUCAGCCCUCUCUCUAUCUCCAACUAUCAGUCUCCUCAUUGACCACUUGUCGGCAUCAGGAUAGCACAUGUGGCAGCUUGUUUCAAAAGAGUGUCUGAAACUUAUGGGUCCCACAAGUUCUAAGCCGUUGAUCUCGCUGCUGGUCUGUCGGCAGAGCUGGUAGAGCGACGCGUGUCCCCACCCUAAAAGCAGAUUUUGGCUUCUUUUCCAGCCACGGAUCAGACACGAAGAGUUCUGUGGGAAGGUGAGCCACGCGGUGGAGUUAGGUGGAUUUAUGUACUCGCGAGAUUUAGCAAUACGCGACACCGAAGUUUGGCCGUGUGUAACGCGUGUACAACUGGUUGGGCGAGUAUUAUGAUGUGAUCUAGUGAGGAUGUACCUUGCAGGUGAGGGGAAUGCGGAAAAAAAUCAAGUGUAGGUCAGGCCCAGGUCAGAAUCACAGCCGCUUAACGUGAUGGAGCCUUUGCGGAUAAGGUACCUUCCUUUUCAGAAUGACGAAACUACCCUGCAUUAAGUUUAACGGUCGGUUCUCGGACUUGCGUGGCAAAAAUAAUAAAUAUAUAUUUUUGAAAUUCUUUUAUAAAUCUAAAUAUCUACUCAAAAUUUCGUUCAAAUAGGAAUUCUCUGCCACGUAAGAGUUUGGAAUAAGAGAUUAAAAGGUACAAAAAUACGUGAAAUUACAAAUUUAACCUCUCAUGGAUUUUUAUUUAAAAAACCUCAUUUUAAAUAAAAAUACUCUUAAUUUUUUUAAUAAAAAUAAUAUUUUCUUUUAAAAUACAUAUCUAAAUAUUAUAAAUAUUUAAAGAUAUUUAUAUAAAAAAAUGAGUUAUUUUUCAAGUGCCAAAAUAGGAAAUGUUAAGAUUUUUUUCUUCAUUUUAAUUAUUUAAUCUUCUUAAAAUCAUAAUUAAUGACUAUAAUUUUAAUUUUUUAAAAAAAUAUUAUAGAUGUAUAUAUAUACAUGUAAAAAAAAAACCAAAUACAACAAUGUUGAUAUAAUAAGAAAAUAUUAAUUUGAUGAAUAUUUAAAAAAAAAAUCUAGGUUUAAAUUUUAUUCUAUUUUAUUUUUAAAAAAUAUUAAUUUCAUGUCAAACUCUUUGUCUUAAAUGGUGGUGUAAGAAAUUUUGAGAAAAGAAAAUAGAAUAAUAGGAAACAAGGUAUGUAAUUUGACUAGGGUCUAAUUAAUCGUGAUCUUUAUUACAUUAAUUCAAUUUAACUGUAAAAAUAGAUUGAAAUUAAUUAAAUUUGAUGUAGGUUAAAUAUAAUAUAAAUAAAAUAAAAUAAAAAACCCAACAACUUUAGCUUAAAGAAAAUUAAAAGACUUUUAAAGACAUACAUUAAUGAAUCAUGAUGCCAGAUCCGAGAACGGAAAAAAACAUCUAUAAAUUAAAUAUAAAACUCUUUCUUUUGAAUCUUUUUCCAAGGAUGCCAAUUGACACGGUUGAGGGCUAUUUCGUCUUUUUGAGGUCAGGCUCCUCCAUGUCACUCUCCUACAUUUCUCUUUCUCUCUGACACACAGACAAACGAGAAUUUGAAUUGGAAAAAAAAAAUGAAAAAACAGAAAAGGGGAAGCCCACAAACAGGUAAGCAUCCUUGUUGAUAUUUACGGGGAGAUUGCCUUUGUAACAAAGACAGUGGUGGCACGUAGGAACACCAACUACCUAUCUCUGUUUUCCUUAUCCCUUUCACACUUCCUCUUCCAACCGUUACUCUCCUCUCAACGCCAACCACCAGUGUCUAUUUCCAUUACCCUCCCUCAGUAUUCUUUCUCUUCAACGGUUACUAAGCUCUUUUAACGGCUAUUUUUCAUGAAUUUGGGGUCAUCUACGUGGUAGUGAAAGGACCAUUUUGAAAAAGUUGUUAAAUUUAAUUUUUUUUUUCUUAUAAGGGCGAUUUUGGCCCAAAACUCAUUAUUCAUGAUCCCUUAAGUUUCCAACUUCAAACGCAAAGCCCCCAUUCCUCCUGCACAGGAACACAGUAACAGAAGCAGAGGCAGAGGCAGAGGCAGACCCACAUGGAUUUCAGUUCGUUUCUGACGUCCUUAGGGACGUCGUUUCUGAUAUUCGUGGUUCUCAUGCUGCUCUUCGCUUGGCUCUCCAGGAAGCCUGGCAAUAGCGUCAUAUAUUACCCCAAUCGGAUCCUCAAAGGCAUGGAUCCAUGGGAGGGUGGGAAGAGGACCAGAAACCCAUUCGCUUGGAUCCGUGAAGCUAUCACUUCCAGCGAGGAUGACGUUAUUUCCAUGUCUGGCGUUGAUUCUGCUGUGUACUUGGUCUUCUUGAGCACUGGUUUGUCCUUCUCUUUUUCUGGGAUUUGUUUGUUUUGCAGGAAUUUGCCCGGAUUUGGUGGAUUUUAAACAAUUCUUUUUUAUUCUUUGAAUAUUUCUUACUUUAGUGUGGCGGAUUUGGAGAUGUAUUCUUCUUCUAUUAUCAGUUGGUUUUCUAGAAAAAUCUAAAAGAAGGAAUUUUGAGUUUGAGGACAUUGUUUCUAUGGGUUUUAGUAACUGUUCUUUUAUCAAAGCAUUCCGCCUAUAAUCAAAGCAAGAUGUUUUUAGGAUUCUGUUGUGUUGGGCAUAAAACACCUCUAAAUUUUGAAAAUUUAAUCACGUCUAGAGGAAACAUGAGGGUAGUGAUUAGGAGUGUGGAAACACACUCAUAUCCCUCUGAGAAGGUUGGCCAAGUCUCAUGUUUCUUAAACUGCAAUAGCCCAAGACUGUCUUUUGACGGAUGGAAAUACUAAAAAUUACUCUGAUCUUUUGUUUUCUUUUGUCAGGGGUAUCUUCCUUCCCUUUCUCUCAAGCUUUCUAGGCUUGAAUUUUCCAAUUUCAAUUCUUCUCACACUUCUUAAUUGUUUGACCUGUUUAGUUUAUAGGGUAUCUUCCUUCCCUUUCUCUCAAGCUUUCUAGGCUUGAAUUUUCCAAUUUCAAUUCUUCUCACACUUCUUAAUUGUUUGACCUGUUUAGUUUAUAGGGUAUUGAAUUUACUUCUUUUUUUCCCCCUUCCUUUGUUGAAUUGCACUUGUGGCCUAAAAUACUUGAAUGCUAUGGUAUGAUAUAUAUCUUGCCCUUGAUUCUGACCUUCAAUAUAAUAAACAUGGUUUUAAAGACGUGUUGCCUGGAGGGCCCAUAGUAUGGUAUAAUGAUGUUGACAGGGUCUGCUGCGGAUUUUGUAGUUUGGUGUGCAAUUAAGUAUUAGCCAAUAUCUUGGAUGGGUUGUCUUAAGCCUUAGAUAAUAUCUAGGUGAAUGAAGACAAGUCUUAGUUAAUAUAUCAUAUCAUAAAAGGAAAUUAGCUAAUAUGUAGCUGUCACUAAAGCAAUUAUUUCCUUGAGAGAUUAGAACAGAAAAAUUCAUCUUGAAAUAUGGUUUUAGUCGAAAGAGUUGACAAAACAAACUUCUGGUGGGGCAGUGCAGGGCACAAUGUGACUUUUAUGAUGACAGUGAAUACCUUUUAUCCAAAUCCUAUUAAAUGGUUUGAUACAGCAAUGCAACAAGGCAUCUAGUGAUCUUUCUUUUUAAAAAAAAUUUUCUUGUAUUUAUUUUUCUUCAUAUUGUAGGAAUAUGUUCAAUUUUAUUUAUUUUUCUUGACUGUCAACAUUUUUUUUGAUGAAAACUUAUGCAUUGGUUUACAUAUCAAAAGGCUGUCUGGUGUGAAUUUCUGUGCAUCUUUUGCAAGGGAGUCCAUCCCUAUAUCACAGUGAUUUCUGUGCAUCUUUAUGCCCCAUCAUGGUGUGAAUUUGCAGUGAAAAACUAUCCCCAAAUUAAGAGUUCACUUUUAUUGGAUACUAUAAUGUCCAAUGCGUGUAAGCUUAGAUGUCAAACUUGGUGGCGAAAAGCUUUCAUCUAGACUUCACAUGUUGCCUGCUUUUGACAAAAAGCUUGUUGGUGAAUCAACUACCCAAAGAUAUUCCAAAUUAGAAUUCUCUUUUAUUGGAUAUUAUGGCAGUCCUCAUUGUUGAUUUUUAUGACAAAAAAAGCAUGCAAGUCUUCAAACCUCUCAUUUUCUUAGUUCAUGUGCAGCUUUGGGAAUAUUGAUCUUAUCUGGCAUUGUGCUGCUACUGGUUCUUCUACCUGUGGCUGCCACUGACAAUAAUUUGAAGCUAUCGGCAAAUAGUUCUACAAGCAAUGGCACUUUCAAUGACCUUGACAAGUUAUCUAUGGGA
rnacentral:lncRNA from 1 species